rnacentral:lncRNA from 1 species
UUGUAGAGGAAGCCUCUCUCAGCGCUGAGGUCAAGGUGCCUGAGAAUAGGCAACUUAAAACUGUUGAGCGUGCUGACGCGACCGGCUUGGGGACUGAAGACAUCGGCGCGUGACGGCCUGCCAAUAUUCUCUUUGAUCCUGAAGUUGCAGAAUGUCUCCUCAAAACCAUUCUGUCCUUGUUGCCCCUGUUGUCUCUGAAUUCCCUGUUCUCGUCUUUCCUCCUGUUGUGACUCUGGUGGCUGGAUGAAAUCGAGACGUCCUCUAACUCUCACGAUUUGGGGUCUGUUGUCUUUCUGUCCCUGAAGCUGCUGGGCAGUCUGUUGGUCAAUGUUCAAAGCAUCAGCGAGGAGCUGUGUGUUGAAGCCUGCAAAGAUGUUGUUGUUUCCUUGUCGUUGUUGUUGCUGGUGCCUGCUCCUUCCUCCUUGCUGUUGCUGGUGCCUGCUCUUUUCUCCUUGCUGUUGCUGGUCCUGGUCCCAUUGACUUUGGCCUUCCGCUUGUUGUCCACGUCCUUGCCGUCCUCGUUGCCUUUGGCUUUGCCCGUGUUGGUUAAACUCAUCUUGUGGAUUACCCGCUAGAUAGAAUCUCUAUACACAUAACAAUAGUACAAUACAUGUAUGUGAUCUGCAGUCAGCAAUGAUAACAAGUAAUCUACCAAUAAAUAUGCAAAUAUAUUUGGGGGUGUAAAUGGACAGUGUGCUCAUUAGUAGAUAUUUAAUUUACCCUAGGGUUACGAUCAAGCUGGUUUUGGUUGUUGCCGAUGUCAAGAAGACUGACAGCAACAAGAGGUUGAUCACCGUCAUUGUAGGACCAGUAGGUGACUCCGGCAGGAAUAGCAACAACGUCACCUUCUCUGAUGCGUCGAACCUUCUGGUGUCUGUCUAGCUGUUCGAAGCUUUCUUGUCCCUGUUGGCCUUGCUGGCCUUGUUGUCUAUGACGGCCAUGCUGUCCACGGUCUUGCUGCUCUUGUUGUUCACGGCCUUGCUGUCCAUGACGCCCUUGCCAUUGUUGUUGACCCUGUUGUUCUUCAUCAGAUUGUUCUGAUUCUUCAAAAGACUCAGGACAGCCAGGGAAUACAGUAGAUAGAAAACCAUUUCCUGCCGUAAUUAUAUGAAUAUAUUACACACCAUAUACAGAUACAUAUUAAUACAUAUCCAACAUUUAUAAUAUUAGAUAGAAAUGGUUCCGGUUACACAGUACCUUGGACAAUAUAUAUGAGCUGUGGUGCGUGGGUGUAAGAAGGCAAGUGAAGGCCAUUUCUUUCAACAGUGAUUCGUUGAACAGCAACACCAGCACACCGGAAGUCGUCCUGGUUGUAGUUCCAGGACUCGAUCCUACCCGCUUCAGUCUCAAUGCGGUUAUCAGGUUCGCGGGCUUGGAUCUGAUCAAGUUGGCACUCAUUCUGCUGGCUCGACUGAGAUUGUUGGCGCGCUGCUAAGCAGCUGUGGAAGAGGACAAGCAAGCAAAGAGAAAAGGCGAGAGCUAUAGGCUUAGCCAUAGUGUUGAUCAGAUAAGUAUAUAGCUUGUCGUGGUGAAGCGGCGAGUAGAAGGUGUGGUAUUUAUACUUUUAUAGGAUAGAGAAGCUGAAGAGGGAAGGAUAAGUACAACAACGUACAUCUGUAAAUAGUCUGAAGCCAUUCUUAUCUUUGCAUGGCAAAAGCAUUUCACAUUCUUACACCUCAUUUCUCCCAGGGCAGGUGGCUCAUGGCUUCAGAGAAGAUACAAAGUGCCUAACAAGGUGGGGUUUUGCCAUGAUUGUCUGCAAGUGAAGCGAAAUUCUACUGCCUUGAACCUGGUCCAAUAAAGAGCAAAAUUUAUGAGAGGACUAAGAUAUGUUCUUACCAGUUUUAGUAAAAUAGUAUUACAUCAGCACCAACCUGAUGAACAUCUUCUAUAAUGUAGGCAAGGUUCAAAAAUGGCUGUUCUUAUCUUCCUAGUAGCCAUCCAUACUCUGUCAUUUUAUGAGUCAAAGUUUAAUAUUUAAAACUUAUGUAGACAUUCCAACAAUAAAACUUAAAAGUUCUUAACUCUAGUUGGUAAUACUUUGACACGUCAAACUUCUUUGAUUUCUUCCAGAAGCAUAAGCAUCUGGUUCUCACGUUGCUAAUCACUUCACCUAUCUAGUUUUCCUACCAAAAAGAAUCUGAUAUAGAUAGAAAAGUUAGCCAUAAAUGUAGGACUUACUGUGAACAAUGUCCCAAUUCCAACCUCAAAGAUUAGAAUCUAAAAGCUCGUAACUCAAAAUUAUACAACAUCAUUAUAUUCACAAUAAAAAGUACUCUGACAUAAGGUUUAGUUCAGUUUAGUGCUUCUUGAAAAAAAAGAUGAAGACUUCAACUGUUCUACAACAUAAUUGUCUAUAUCUAUACUCAAAAUGAUCAAUAAUCGUUUAUCCUACCAUAUUUCUUGUAUGGAAUAUCUUGUUACAUUUUGUUUUCAUAGCAAAAUGUUGCAAUAUUUGAGUGAUAGAUACACUGCCAACAUGGUGUACAAGUUCCACAGCCAAGAUUUUUGGGCUCACGACAACUCUUAAGGCUUAAGAACCAGUAAUGCAUGGUUGAACUAGGGAGCAGCCAUUGCUGAAGGCUCCUCCUCAAAACGAUCCAUUGCUUUAUUACCCCAUGGUUGGAAAACCUGCCAACAGUCAAAAUUUCCUCUUCCCCCGCAGUCGAUAUUUUCUCAUCUCAAUAAAUUUUAUUCAUCCAAAACAUAAAUCCUUUUGUUUAAGUACCCGCCAGUAUAUCUAAUAUCUGUGACAAGCCGAGUGCUGACAGCUGAUAUUUUAAAACUUGGGAUUCCCUAUAGCCCCUCUCAUUAUAACCCCUCUAAUGUUAAAGCUUCUGCUAAAGACACAUCUCUAGUUCCUCGAGCUAAUGCUACAUCCGCAAUGCAAUUGUUCCCAUGCAAUGAUUAGCCAGAGGAAAACUCGAGGAGCUCCCUUGACUCUGAUCAAUUUAGCCUCAAGUCUCGAACUUGUUCUUUGAAAGUCAGUGAAGAGGCUACUUCUUUAACUGGUGAUGGUGCUCAACCAAUGUUAAGCCAGACAGAGGAUAGUUAAGUGAAUCUGGUCGGGAAGACCUAAAAAGAGCAAAACUUCUUGCUUUCCCUUGCUACACAACGAGUACUACUAAAAGGUCGAUUCCAACAAAAGAGCUCAGGAUGUUGUUAUUAAUGGGGUUGGGACUUGAGUUCUCGGGUGGGAAUGUGAAGGUGCAGCAGUUGCUUUGCAACUCUACUUUACUGUCCUUGUCCAAGCUGAUAAGGGUGGGACGACAUUGAACGGCCUUAUUUACAGGUCCUCUAUAUAUUGGAAUACUUGACUGUCUCAGAAAGGACUUGCCAAGUGAUUCCCUAAUUCUAAUGCUCAGACCUCGGCCUAUUUGAAAUGUCUGAUAGAAACUAGUUUGAGGAAUAAUUAGCUUCUUUACCUGUGAGUACAUGUUUCUAUGGAAGGUUUCUGUAAUGCUAGCUUUCCUUCUGCUAUAAGGAAGGUGACCAAGCUUUUAAUCCUAACACCAAAGUUAAACCUUUUCCAAAGAAAGGGGGUCAAAACCUGUAGAAUAUUAUGUAACAGGUUGAACCUAACACAUAAAGUUCAGCAAUCAUCCAUGAUCCAUCUUCUAUCAUAUUUUUACUGAACCAAAGAUUAAGUAAUCAACACUGGCAGUUGUUUAUGUAAGUUAUUCUGAUAAAGAAAAAAGAUCCAUCACUACCCUUAAACUUAUUGUGCCACAAAACACAAAUGACUUCAAUUGUUCCUAUCGCAUAGAAACCAAACUUUUGUCAUUGUUUCUUGGAAUUAUUCUGUACACAUCACUUCUGUGCAAUCAUGCACAAAAUAGAAUCAAAAUACCAUGACAAUGACAAAGGGUUUAAUUCAAUUUGGCACUUCUUACCAACACUAUGCUCCUCCAAAUGGUCCUCAUAGUCAAAGGGACUUCCCCAUAUCCCUUGUUCCAAAAUUAGCUUCUUUACCCAGAAUCAAUCAUCCUACUACGCUCAAAAUAUCUAAUUUCUCAAUACUCUACUGAUUCAAUUGAGUUGAAGACAAAGUAGACAACAAUUAACAGAUCAAAUGUGAAAGUACAUAAUUCAAUAGACUCACGAUUGCUGAGUUGCAGGUCACUGGUUGUGGUGUGUCUGAUCAGCAGGAGCUACGUUUCAAGCACGCCCUCGUGAAGCAAUCUCGUCCCCGACGCGACCUCUGGUAGUCGGAAUAUGCGGCCGGAUAACAUGAUCCGGCGAUCCCGUCUUUCACAUUGUGUUUGGUUGGACAUUGGCGGUUCCAGCAGUUCAGUUACUAUUGGUCUUCACCCUCUCAGCGCUCAACCUCUUCUAGUCUCUCCUUUUAUUCUUGUACUUGUCAGUUGUCACAGUUGCUAUCUAUGUGAUUGUUCCACGUGGAUUUUAUUUUCCUGCAAAUUCCCAAAUUAAUUAUUAUUUUGUCCAAAAUUUCCAGAUGAAUUGUUUGUUGUCUUUGAUGUUUUUUUUUCUUUUGUAAAAAGAUCGUAUGACCCCUUAUAUGGAUAUUUUCAGGAGACUUCUUGCCGCCUUCACGCUGUUCACGUUCCACAUACAUAUAUACAUGCAGCUCAACAUGCUUUUUCACCAACUUCACUGAGUUCUUUGAUGAUUCUAAUCAUUCGAUGGAAUCACAAAAUAGUUAGUUUAUACAACAGAGUUCGUGAGCUGCUUAUUUUAUAGUUUAAUUUUGGCGUGACGUCAUUAGUUAAAGCUCGACGAAGCAUGCUGUUUUUCUUUUCUAUCAAGAGCGUGAUUAGCUGGUUUGGAAAUUUCAUUUCUAUUUUUCUCGUUCUUAUUGAGAGUCAAACUUUGAAGAAAUGAUAGUCAAACUUCGAAGAAAUGAUUGGAGUCAAACCUGAUGAUUACAGACAAGGGGUGAGCUGCUGAUAUGCAAUUACAGCCAAAGCAAAUUACUGACUUAAAUCUAAGGGGCAAAGCUUCACAAUUUAGAUAAAACACCAACUCACCAAGUAUAGUUGAGGCAAAAAGAAAAUUCAUUUAACGAGAAUAUGACUACAAGAACGUAGUAGCUCGUUAUUUACUAGUUUGUACAUAAGAUCUCAUAUCUUCCGAAGAUGCCAUAUAAAGGCCAUUUUUAUUCACUCUACCCUUUAGCUCGCUGGUACCAUAUUCACUAGCUUAUUCACCGCACAAAAAACACUACGUGCGCAUUACAUACAUAUUCAUACUCAGACAAACAUCUCAGCAAUAUCCAACCAGUUCCUGUGGGAUCGAGGAGACCUUGAUGAGCUCAAAGCAACAGUCUCCUGCCUGUUGUACUUGAGAGUCCUUGCCUGUUGUCGAUCAAUCUGGUAUGCGUUAGCGAGGACCACGUCAGGGAGUGCCCGCAAGACUGAGGUCCGGCCAGCAAGAGUGUUAAUCUUAGCAUUGUCUUGGGUCUUGAAAGCAAUGUAUUCGAAUCCAUUGUUGCUAGCCUUAUGCAACACUGCAUGGUUCUGUGGCACAAUGAAGAGCUGGCCCUGGCGGACCUCGUUGUCCAAGAUGGCCUGGCCGUUGUUGUUCACAACCUGAACCCUAGCACUACCUCUAAUGACGUAGUAGACUUCAUGGGCGUUCAAGUUCCAGUGAGGACUGUAGAUAGCAUUCUGCAAGUACCACAAACAAGAUUAGUAAUCAUAAUCAAUAACCUCAAUUGAUUCAAAAGGACCUAUAUCGUUGAUUAUAUAUACUUACGUUAUAGAAGAAGCCUCUCUCAGCGCUGAGGUCAAGGUGCCUGAGAAUAGGCAACUUAAAGCUGUUGAGGGUGCUGAUGCGACCGGCUUGGGGACUGAAGACGUCAGCGCGUGAAGGCCUGCCGAUAUUCUCUUUGAUCCUGAAGUUGCAGAAUGUCUCCUCAAAACCAUUCCGUCCUUGUCCCUGUUGUCUCUGAAUUCCCUGUUGUUGUCUUUCCUCCUGUUCUGACUCUGCUGGCUGAACAAAGUCGAGACGUCCUUUAACUCUCACGAUUUGGGGUCUGUUGUCGUUCUGUCCCUGAAGCUGCUGGGCAGUCUGUUGAUCAAUGUUCAGAGCGUCAGCGAGGAGCUGUGUGUUGAAGCCGGCGAAGAUGUUCUUGUUGUUUCCUUCUUGUUGCUGGUGCCUGCUCCUUCCUCCUUGCUGUUGCUGGUGCCUGCUCCUCUCUCGUUGCUGUUGCUGGUCCUGGUCCCAUUGACUUUGUCCUUGCUGGCCCCGACGACUCUGGCUUUGCCCGUGUUGGUUAAACUCAUCUUGUGGAUUACCAGCCAGAUAGAAUCUCUACAUACAUAACACAUCAUGCAUGUGAUCAGAAAAAACUAGCAAGCCAACAGUAAGAGUGCUAUUGUACCUCCACAAAAGAAAAUAUAUACAUAUCACAUUUGCUAAUUAAUUUACCCUGGGGUUACGGUCAAGCUGGUUUUGUUGGUUGCCGAUAUCAAGAAGAUUGACAGCAACAAGAGGUUGGUCACCGUCGUUGUAGGACCAGUAGGUGACUCCAGCAGGAAUAGCAAUCACAUCACCUUCUCUGAUGCGUUGAACCUUCUGGUGUCUGUCUAGCUGCUCGAAACUCUCUUGUCCCUGUUGGCUGUGCCGCCCUUGUUGUCUAUGACGACUUUGCUGUCCAGGGCCUUGUUGCCCUCGUUGACCACGGCCUUGUUGUUCAUACUCUUCCUGUUCUUGUUGCCCGCGGCCUUGCUGUCCAUGGCGCCCUUGCUGGCCUUGCCACUGUUGUUGACCUUGUUCUUCAUCAGAUUGCUCAGAUUCUUCAAAAGUUUCAGGACAGCCAGGGAAAACAGUUGAUAGAAAACCAUUGCCUACAGGGUAUAAAUGAAUGAUUUUAACCACAUACGUACUUGUAUUCAAAAAAUUUAUACUAAAUUUAACCAAUUGCAUUUAUACAAUACCUUGCACUAUGUAAGUGAGUUGUGGAGCAUGGGAGUAAGAAGGCAAGUGAAGGCCAUUUCUUUCUAUGGUAAUUCGUUGAACGGCAACACCAGCACAUUGGAAAUCGUCCUGGUUGUAGUCCCAGGAUUCGAUCCUACCCGCUUCAGUCUCAAUGCGGUUAUCAGGUUCACGGGCUUGGAGCUGAUCUAAUUGGCAUUCAUUUCGCUGGCUCGACUGAAAUUGUUGGUGAGCUGCUAAGCAGCUCUGGAAGAGGACAAGCAAACAGAGAGAAAAGGCGAGAGCUAUAGGCUUAGCCAUAGUGAUGAUCAGAGAGAUAGCUAGCUAGUUGUGGUGAAGCGGCGAGUAGAAGGUGUGGUAUUUAUAGGAUAGAGAAGGUGAAGAGACAAAAAUAAGUACAAUAACAUUAAAGAUCUGAAGCCGUUCUUCUCUUUGCAUGGCAAUAGCAAUUUACAUUCUUCCACCUCAUUCCUUCCAGGGCAGGUGGCUCAUGACUUCAGAGAAGAUACAAAGUGCUAUGAAUAAGGUGGCAACCAGAAGCGGUUUGCAAUUGUCUGCAAGUGAAGCAAAAUUUUACACCCUUGAACCUGGUCCCAAUACAGGGAAAAAUUAAUGAGAGAAGUCAGAUAAGUUCGUUCUAAAUUUGGUAAAAUGAUAUUACAUCAGCCCCAACCUGAUGAACAUCUUCUAUGAUCCAGACAAGGUUCAAAAAUGUAAGAUCUCAUCGGAAAAAAAAUGUAUGUUAGAUAAGUACUGAAUGAUGUGUCAGGAACCUCAAGACAUUUUUCUAUAUGCAAUUUAUCAUUGUUUCACAUUCUUACAGCUCAUUUCUUUGACCAGGUGGCUUAUGGCUUCAGAGAAGACUCAAAGUGGCUUGAACAAUGUGUCAACCAGGUGGGAAUGACAUGAUUUUCAAAUGCAGCAAAGAUUUACUGCCGUGAAUAAUGCAAAAUUAAUUAUACAAACAAGAUCUAUAGCUGUUCAAUGCAUAGUUUGGAAAAGUAAAAUCAUACCAACACCAACCUGAUAAACUCAUCUAUGAUGCAUGCAUGGUGAAAAAUUAUAACAUUUUCAUCUUUCCUACAGUAAUCAGCAUAGUCUAUCCUUUCAUGAAUCAAAAUUAAUACUUCAAGUCUAUGCACAUAAAAUCUUACUAAAAAUAAUGCAGUUUAGUGGUUUAUAUAAGUUUCUUUGCAAACAAAUCUGAACUCCAUCACUAUUCUUGAAACUACUGUGACCCAUCAACGUUAUUACCUCAGCUAUCAACCAUUCUCAUGUCAUAAAGAUUCAGAAUUUGCAAUAUUACUCCUAGAAGUUCUCUGUUCAUCUACAGAAAGGAGUCUCGUAGAAGCUACUGUUGUGAUAGAAGCUAGGAUAGCUAAUGCUGCAAAAUUGAUCUCCGAGAAGCUAUUGUUGUUAAAAUCCCAUCUCAUAAAAUUUUCUCCUGUUUCAAAAAUUAAAAAAUAUAAAAAAUUGUCUCCCUUUGAUUAAAGCACCCUGAACACCAGAAAUGGUGUCACUUAAAACCUCUCUCAAUCUCCAAGCUAACACUUUUGCGAUAAUUUCAUACAAGCUUGAUAAUCAAGCUGUGGACUUCUGUAGAUGAACAGAGAACUUCAAGGAGAACUACCACUUUUGGACUAAUUUUACAACCAAGACUUUACUUCUACUACUUUGUUAUAAAAGAUUGCAAGGCAUCAAUAGACGAUAUAUAGUUGAUAAGACUGGAUGCAAUCCACUCAAAUGCAUUUCAAAAAACUAUAUUCAAUGAGUAAUUUGAGUUGUUUUUUUCUUCCAACUCAAAAACUUGAACAAACCUCGAUUCUAAUACUCUAAACAAAGAAUUUAACCCGGAAUCGAAAGAUCAAUACUGAAAAACAUAAUCUGAUACAUAAACAUGUGUUAUCAUUUGUAAAACAUCAGAUACAACCUAUUUGCACAAAAUGGGUUACACAUCUCUAACAAAGGCUUAGACUUUAGAUAUCAAAAGAAUUCCAAUUUGUCCUCUUCUACACAAUUCUAACAAAUGCUCAAGUCCUUUAAGGCCUUGUAUUUAGAUGCUAAGAAGAGUAAAAAAUGGGCCUAUUGGCAGGAUUUAAAUUGAAAAUCUUGAUUUAAAAAUGGUUGAAUUCCAGAUCAGUCUACAGAGAAUCUAGUAAUUCUAUGCUUCAAAAACUCAUUUGCCCCUCUUUAAAUCCUCACAAUGUGGGGUUGAUUAGCUUCCUUUAACCAAGAGUAACAUGGUUCUAUGAAAAACAAGCAUUAAUGAAUCAAACAGAGAUCACAACACAAUAACAAAUAGAUCAAACUUUGAAAUCAACUAAUAUUAGACUCCCAAAUUCCAAGUUCAAGUAGGCUGUUGUUGAAUCACGCGUUACCUCGCGAAGCGAGUCUCGCUUCCCACGACGUUGCAUUUCUUGCUCGUCGGCGUAUGACGCCGGAGAAAACGAUUCGGCGACCACGUCUUCCAUUUUUCCCUUCAUUUUCUGAUCCUGGUUUGCUCUCUGGUUUUCUACCUAUUGUGUUGGGCUUUAUUACAUACUUUUGGGUCCUUUUUCCUUUUAUUUUUCUUUUUCUUUCAUUUUAAAAGUCGAAUAGUUUCCUAAUAUUUCGAAAAAUUAAAAGUCGAGUACCUCACAGUAUCUAGUUUUUAUUUGAUAAAUCAGUAUCUAGUUUUUUUUUUUUAAGAAAGAGCUUCUAGUUUUCAUAUUCAUUUGAUAAAUAAAAGUAAUUUUAACCUCUCGUGUGCAUUUAAGUUGUCUAUUAUGGUGAGAAAAGUUUCCUAAAAGAAAACUAUGGUGAGAAAAACAAGAGCAUUCGAAAUGAGAAGAACAUGAAGGUGGAUUUGAGAGGAGCCAAAACGCGAAUCAAAGGAAGAAGAAAGAGAUUUCAUUAGAAAAAAGUGUAACGCGAAUCAAAGGAAGAAGAAAGAGAUUUCAUUAGAAAAGAGUGUUUGAGACUACAAGUAGAGUAGCUAUUUAUUAACUUGUGGCAUUAGAUCUCUCUCCUAGUACCACGAGACCCAUAUAAAAGGCUACUUUUAUUGAUUAUCUACCUCUUAGCUUAGCAAGUACCACAUUAACACUACAUGCCGCUAAAUUUUUCAUUUGCUCCCAUCAGUAUCUCUAGAACUGUGAGGACCUUGAUGAGCUCAAAGCAAGAGUCUCCUGCCUGUUAUACUUGAGGUCCUUGCCUGCUCGCGGUCCAUCUGGUAGGCGUUGGCGAGGACCACGUCGGGGAGUGAUCGCAAGACGGAGGUCCUGCCAGCUAGAGUGUUGACCAUGGCAUUGUCAUUGGUCUUGAAGGCAAUGUACUCGUACCCGUUGCUCUGGGCUUUUUGCAACACGGCGUGGUUUUGCGGCACGAUGAAGAGUUGUCCCUGGCGGACCUGGUCGUCCAAGAUGGUCUCACCGUUGUCGUUCACCACCUGAACCCUGGCGCUACCUCUGAUGACAUAGAUGAUCUCAUGAGCAUUCAAGUUCCAGCGGGGGCUGUGGAUAGCAUUCUGCAUGUACCAUUACCAGAUAAAUUUCAGGAUUAAUUGAUCAAUAGGUAACUAAAUUUAAUUAUUAGAAACAUACAUGCUAGAAUACUCACGUUGUAGAAGAAACCUCUCUCAGCGCUGAGACGGAGGUGCCUGAGAAUAGGCAUGCUGAAGCUGUUGAGGGUGCUGAUGCGACCGGCUUGUGGGCUGAAGACGUCAGCCAUGGAAGGCUUGCCGAUGUUCUGCUUGAUCUGCAUGUGGCAGAAUACCUCCUCAAAGCCAUUCUGGCGGCCCUGUUGUCCUUGCAGUUGUCUUUCCUCCCUCUGUGACUCUGGUGGCUCGACAAAGUCGAAACGUCCCUCAACCCUAACAAUUUGUGGCCUGUUGUCAUUCUGUCCCUGGAGCUGCUGGACAGUCUGUUGGUCAAUGUUGAGAGCAUCGGCGAGGAGCUGGGUGUCGAAGCCGGCAAAGACAUUGUUGUUGUUGUUACCCUGCUGUUGGCGCCUGCUCCUUCCUUGUUGUCGGCCUUGCUGUCCCCGUUGGCUUUGGCCUUGUUGUCCUUGUUUCCACCAUUGGCUUUGGCCUUGUUGGUUGAACUCAUCUUGCAUGCGGGUUACCAGCAAGAUAGAAUCGCUACAAAUAGAGAUCAAGCAGCAAGCAUUGAGUGAGUUAACAAUGUAAAAUAAGUUGUUAACUUCAUGUUUAGAGUAAAAUUGUCAGUAAAAAGGUGUACCCUCUUGGGUUUUGGUCAAGCUGGUUGUGGUUGUUGCCGAUGUCUAGAAGAGUAACAAAAACAAGAGAUUGAUCACCAUCGUUGUGAGUCCAGGUUGUGGCUCCGGCGGGGAUUGCGAUAACAUCACCUUCCUUGAUGCGUCGCACCCUCUGGUGUCGGUCUAGCUGUUCAAACUCUUGUUGGCCUUGCUCUCCGAAUUGCCCUUGUCGACGUCCGUGUCGCUGGCGGUGGCCUCCGCCUUGUUGGCCUUGCCAUUGUUGUUGCUGUUGUUCUUCAACAGAUUGCUCAGACUCCUCAAAUGUCUCCGGACAGCCAGGGAAUACCAUCCCUAGAUGACCCCUACCUACAGUAGUGUCCAAAAAUAGCAAGCUAAACACAUGCUUAAACACCACUAGGUGCAAUUUACUGAAUAAUAAAUAACGGACUGUUUUGCACUUUACCUUGUACAACGUAAACAAGCCUUGGUGUGUUAGUGUAGGAAGGCAAGUGAAGGCCAUUACGCUCAAUGGUGAUUCUUUGAACAGCAACACCAGCGCACUAGAAGUCAUCCUGGUUGUGAUCCCAAGACUCGAUGCGACCUGCUUCAGUCUCAAUACGGUUGUCAGGCUCGCGGGCUUGGAUCUGGUUCAGCAUGCACACAUUUUGCUGGCUGAACUGAGAUUGUUGCCGACUGGCUAAGCAGCCUUGGAAGAGAACGAGCAAGCAAAGAGAAAAGGCAAGAGCUAAAGGCUUGGCCACCAUUGUAACAAUCAGUGGUAGAUAGCUAGCUGUGGGUUGUGGUGAAGCGGCGAGUAGAUGGCGUCGGUAUUUAGAGGAGAGAGGAGGAGGCGAGGAGGAGAAAAAUACAAGGGAUGAGAUUCUCUUUGCAUGCUAUUAGUAUCUCAAAUUCAUACACCUCAUCUUUAUACCUGGGCAGGUGGCUAUUGGCUUCAGAGGAUAUAUAUACAAAGUGCCGAGAACAAUGUGGCAAACAGGUGGGGGGUGGUCAUGAUUGUCUGCAAGUAAAGCAAAUUGUACUGCCUUGAACCUGGUCAAGUUCAUGAAAAAGUUCAUUCAAGAUAUCAGGUCUAAUCUGUUUCAUGUUUGGUAAAGUAAAUAGAGUAGCAACCUGGACCAUAUAUAAUCUACACAGGUGAGAUAAAAAAACCUUAAUUUACCAUCAUGCAAUAGCCAGAAUCCAUCUUCAAUCCUCUAUGAUUCUAUUAAGACUUAAAGCACAUUUACCCUCUUCAAGAAUUCACAUUCCAGCACUCUUCUAAAUGACUCUACUUGAUGAAAUUCAAAGUACCUCUCGCUAUAUUCUGGGAAUUACUGUGAUCAUCAGAGCAAUUACCUCACCUAUUAACUCAUAGUAUGCUUGAGCUAAUGUGAGAUCAUUCCUUAUAUAAAUGAGAAUGCAAUGCCUAACAUAAGUUUUAUGUGUAUAAUACAAUCAUAAGAGACUCACUGAUUACAAUUAUAUGAAAUAUAUGAAACAAAAGCACAGAAAAUAGACUUCUGGAAAAAGAACAUAUUUCUACAAGUGAAGGCUUAUUAUUUACACUAGUCUCACUGAUUUCCAUUUGGCUCUUCUGACCAAAUAGACUUCUGUAAAAAGUACAACAUUUGAGCCCAUGAUCACCCUCUACUUGGAAAUACCAUUGAUUCUAAAACAUAGUCCUUACAGUAUUUGUGGGAACUAGAUUAUUGGGUCAGUUUAGCUAAGAUUAAACUGUUAACAAAACCAAGCUUUAGAACCCAAUUUAGCAAAAUGAACAUACAAUAGUGUCACACCCCGGACCGUGGUUUCCAAGCACCAGACGCCGAACCCGAGGCGUGAGCGGGAAAAAUAAAAGAAAAUAAAAUAAUUUCAAAUACUUUUCCAGAAAUUGUUAAAAAAAAAGAAAAUAAAAUGUUUUACAAUAACAAAACAAUUACAAAGACAAUAAGAUGAGCCCUUGCGAUCUAGCUCAUUUUUAAUCUUUCGUAACUCUUUUCUACUCUUGUACACGUCUCCUAAACUUCAUAGUCUCGAAAUACGUUCCUCGUACGUACCUGAACAAAAGUCUAUAGGGAUGAGCUUACGCUCAGUAGGGCCAAACCUUUUUAGGUUAUACUUAACUAGGUUGCACAAACAAGUUAUCAAGCAAUGUCAAACAAUACUUUAAAUAAAUAACGGCAAUUCGAUGCAUGUAUGCUAAUGAAUGUCUUCCUCAAUUACUAGCUAUCAGUCCAUACAUCAAAGAUAAGUGAGCCUACACGUCUCAUACCGUGUAUUUUACCAACCGGGGAUAACUCAAAUGUCUCGAAUAUAUGAUCUAACAAUCAAUAAAAUCUCACCACCUGUACCUCUUUUGUUAGUCAUCUUGUUAUAUUCAUGGUCUCCAAACCUGAAACCCGAAGAUCGUUUUAUCGAUGUCCGCCAUCGAAGGGGCAUAUAUACUUUCCCCACUCAUUUGCGCAUGUGGGCUGGCAUGGAUUCAUGGACAACCCAUGAGAAAACUCAACUACACAAAAUGUAUAUAUUCUCUAAAUCUCAUUCUCCUCUCCAUAAUCAUCAUUCUCACCAUUCUCACAAUUCCUCACAAUGUUUUACACACUACAAGGACAAACACUUUAGCCGACGAAAAAGUUUCGUCGGCCUGUUAGCUUAAUUUGUCGGCUAAGAUUUCGUCGGGAAAAGGUCGUCGGCGAUGACUUUAGCCGACGAAAAAAGAAGACGUCGUCGGCUAUAGUCCCACAAUUUAGCCGACAAAAAACAUGUCGUCGGUUUUUUUCCCAGACUUUAGCCGACGAAACAAUAAGAUAUUCGUCGGCUAAAGUGUGUAAUAAAAAAUUAAAAAAAUAAUUAUAGCCUACCAAAUAUAGUCUGUUUCGUCGGCUAAACCUUAUAAAAAAAUUAAAAAAAUAACUAUAGCCGACGAAAUAUAGUAUGUUUCGUCGGCUAAACCUUAUAAAAAAAUUAAAAAAUAAAUAUAGCCGACGAAUAUAGUAUUUAAAUAUCGUCAGCUAAAGUUGCUGGUUUUUGAAAAAAAAAACUGCAGAAACUUUCGGCCAACUCCAAUCACCACCAAAAUUUGAUAGAAUCUUCCUCUCAACAUUUCAAACAACUUUCUAGAAGAAGUCGAAUCCCAAUUCUAAACCUAAACAGGUCAAUUGAAUCAAAAUAUAAAAAUCCCCAAUUUUAAACCCUAAAAACUUCAAAUCUUUGAUUCUCCUCACACACACCGAAUCGAGCUACCAAAUUCUAGGGGAAUGUAGUACUAAUCAAACUCAACUUAUCCAUAUAUAGAACUCACCAAAUGGUGACCUGAGGAAUGAGAAAUUCGAUCGACACCGAAUCCAAACCGGCGGAGUUUUGGAGCUCGAUUUAUCCCUCACGGCGGCGCCACUCGAUGCACCACCUAUCCAGCAAUGAAGUAGAGACAACGACGAAGCUUUUGGGACAAGUGUGGCGGUCUCCAGUUGCUUGACGGCAGAGCUAGGCCGAGAAGAAAAUCCGGAACUUUUUCUGAUUUUCUGACUUCUUACCAUCCACCUCUGGUAAAACUCCUAUAUAAAGAACUUUACCCGACGAAAUUCUUUAUUUUCGUCAGCUAAACUCUUUUGAAAAUUUUUGUUGACCGCCAAAAAAUUUGGUUGAAAAUUUUAAAAAUUUUUCGACUUUAGCCGACGACUUUUCAUAUAUUUUCGUCGGCUAAAGUCCUUUGAAAAUUUUCCUCCAAAUUUGGUUUACCGCCAACAAAAUUUGACCUUAGCCGACGACUUUUUUAGUAUCUCGUCGGCUAAAGUCUAUAAAUUCACGAAAACGCUCAUAUCGAUCUCCCUCUAUAUUACGUAGUUUGGUCAAACAUUCCACACGAAAAACUUUCACAUAGAUGAGACGCAACCGCCUAUAUAAAAAUUUUGAGACAUUUACCUUCCGACGAUAGGGCUCCCCAUAGGGAAUAAUAACGGUAAAUAGGGUUAACCGCUACUAUCGGCACCGAGACGUUACCCAGUUUACGUGGAUUUUGAACCAUAGCCGUAAUUCAUCAUUCUGAACACAUCUUAUUUCACAAGAUUUUUGAUAAUUUUGCUUCCUAUGUUGUAUAACCUACUAAACAAGUUAUACAACAUUACUAGACACGUGAUUCCGAUGACUAAAAUUCACAAACCAAAAUUCGACCAUCAGAUAUGAUCAUUAUGACGAAAGAUGUCUAUAGUAAAAAAUUUAACUGGAUUCGACAACGUUAAGGGCUCGAUCGAAACGGUCAACUCUAAUCGGAAAUAAGAAAACUGCAUUUUGAAGCCCUAAACGGACUCGGAUGGCCAAAAAGGCCCAUAUGUGAUGGCAUAGCGAUGAGUUUGACUCGUAGGGCCGUUACGCUUCUAGAAAUGUAUCACAAUAGUCAAUCGGACGCCGAAUGCCAAAUCUGCAGCAUAAUUAAUACCGGGUUUCGACUGUUCUACAUCAGAGACGUUACCCGAUUUACGUGAUUUUUGAACCAUAGCCGUAUUUCACCGUUCUGAACACAUCUUAUUUCACGAGAUUUUUGUUAAUUUUGCUUCUAUGUAGAGUUGGUUCACAAAGUUGUGUAUUUGUUUAAAACCUACUAAGCAAGUUAUACAACAUUUUAUUGUUUUUCUUUUAGCCGACGACUUUUAUCGAUAAUAGCCGACGAGUAAAAAUAUUGGCCAACGAAGGAAAACUUUUUGGUCGACGAAAAAAAAAUUUCGUCGACUAAAGUAUCGUAUAGCCGAUGAAAAAAUUUCUUCAGCCGACGAAAAUUUAAAUUAGCCGACGAAAAAAUAAUUCGUCGGCCUGGUUUUUUUAUUUUCGUCGGCUAAAACCUUUCUUUUGGUAGUGACACAUGUCAAAUGAAUAUCAAUACACGUUAUAUUAUUUUAAACAACAUGUUUUUUACGGAAAACGAUAACAUCAAUCAUAUAUAUCAACAAAUACACAUGUUUUUAACAAAACAAUAACAACCAAGAGUUAUCACUCAAUGACAAACAAAACAUCCAUUUCAAUUAUAAUCUAAUUAUCAAUUUAAGAAAGGUUCCCCGAGAAAGACCCUACCUGGAAUCCAAAUGCUACUUCCGACGCUAGCUAAAAUUAGUAACUCUGCUGAAAUCCUUAUCCUGCUACUUCUGCAAUCCAGCUACUCGCAUUCGAUCCUCGUACCGAAUCCUCAUUCCAAGAAUAUUGACAGACCACUUCAAAUCAGCUUGAUCUAAUUCUGAAAUUUACUAAGGACACCCAAGUCCUUACUUCCGAUUCUUCGACAUUCACUACUUAAUUCUCUCAUAGUAUCCAAACUCACAAUUGUGCUCCAAAUACGAAAUCCAUCUCCAAACACCAACCCAACUUCAAAUAGAAGUUAAUAUUUUUAUCUAAAAUUACUCUCUACACCCAAAACUCCCAUUAUAAAUCUCAAUACAGCUUGAUCAUCCUUCCCUCUUCUCCUUUGCACCAUUUCACAAUAUCUUCCUUGUAGACCCAACAAGCAAACCUCCAGACUUGUUCAUGAUGAACAUGUUCAUAUACGAGCACUUCCAUUACAUAAAUUAAAAUCAUUCUUCUACUUCCACAACUCUCAAACAUUAGACCAAACAAUUGUAACAACCACUGUUCUAACACUCGAGCCACAAUCAGCCUUCCAAUCAUCCCCUUCUCUCUCUUUUGAACGUUCAAGAAGCAUCAACACCAAUUCAAGUUCCUGAGCAAAGCCAGCACCGCCAACAACGCCACCACACACGGCAGCCGACGACUGCCCCGAAAUCAUCAACUCCUCCAAUCUCAAAUUCAAUUACAACCAACCAUGAAAUUAUAUUUUAAAGCCUCUAUCAAUAUCAAAGAUAGCUAAUCCAAAACCCAAAACAUUAUCAACGCCGCCGUGCACAGCAGCCGCGCACGGUGGUCGACUGCCCAAAUUCCACCUUCUUCCAAACAUAACCAAAUAUGAAUUCCACUUAUAUAAACAGGUAGAGCUCGACGAGAAGAUCAAGUUUCAUACCUCACUUGUCAUCGACGGUGGCCUGAAAGUUUCGAACCCUCGCCGGAAAACUCCUUGAGCUUUAAUUAAUCGAUUCUCACUCAUGGAGGCUCCUCUUAAUAUACGAACAUCAUGGAAGGGUUUCUGACAUCGAGACGAAGCUUCAGCUAUCGAUGAGAGGCGUCGACGCUGCCGGAAUCGAAAGUUGACCCGCGAACCCAGCCUCUCUUUCUCCCCUUCGAUUCUCUUACCCGACCUCUUCUGAAGAAACUGAGGACAUAGGGAAGACCACGAGAACGAGAGGAAGCUACCAAUACCCGUCACACUCGCCGUCGUGGCCGAAAUCACGAACUCGACCGGAAACCCAGAAAUUCUUCUCCUCCUCGAUUCUCUCUCUCCUCAGCUUUCCAUGGAAAUCCAACAUCACAAUCGUGUUGGGGACGACUAGACGGAGCUUUUGACACCGGUCUUGCACCGGGAAAUAGCUGGACCACAGAGGAAGGAGCUGAGCUCCGUCGCUGCAGAGCAGCUCGAGACCGAGUCGGUCUAGGCUUGUACUGAUCCAGUCCAAACUAAUCCCCUGUAUAUACAUACCUAAAUCGAUGGCCUAGAUCUAGCGGCUUAAGAGAUCCAACAGUCUAGAUCAUGUCAGCAAUAAGUCUAUUUUUAAUUAAAUUUUUAGAUAAUACAAACUUCUAAAAAUCAUUAAAAAUAGCUCUGAUGUCCAAAAAUACUUCCGUAAAAUUCUACAAACUCAUAACGACGUCUAGGUUAAUCCUAUGGGCUCGAAAGACAAAAUCGACAAACUAAAAAUUUGAAUAAUUUUCAACAAGCCACAAAAAAUUAAAAGAAUAAUAGAAAUCGAAAUAAAAAUAGCUCGAAAAAUAAUUUUCCUUUUAAAAAUAGAAAACUGAAAUUCCAGGAUGUUACAAAUAACUUCAGGAUUUCAAUUACAUGCAAAAGACAAGAGUUAGCAAGUAACUAAACCUUGGAAUUUAGAAUUUAAAUUUCAAGCCAGUGGUUAUUGUUGAACCUGUUACGAAGGAAAUGAAGCUCAGUCGACUGUGUGAUCGUCCGGUGUGGUUCACCUGAGUACCGUCGCUUGAUACAUUGAUCGGUUCCAUCUUACUCCGCAUUCCUAAUUGCCCGCUUCUCACUGGUGGCUGUCGUUUUCGUUUCUUUCGAAUAUGAAUUUUGUGUUGGGCUUUCGCAACUGUUAUUUGGGCCUGUAUACAGUAGUAUUAUCUCUCUCUCUCUCNNNNNNNNNNNNNNNNNNNNUAUUAUCUCUCUCUCUCUCUCUCUCUCUCUCUCUCUCUCUCUCUCUCUCUCUUUUCAAUAACCUGUCUUUUCUUUUUUAUUUAGAGAAGAUUCUACAACUUUUUGUUUCAAGACAUCUUUAUUUAUUUAUUUAGAGAAGAUUAUUUAUGAGGCUAUGUCAAAGAGAGAGCUUCUGCGACUGGAGUAGUUGACAUACCAUAGUUGAACGAAGCUACAACCCAUGGAUGGUCGUUAAUUGUUGGUGCUAAUCACGAAUCCCUCAACUGCAGAGUUUCUCCUGACCGAUCUAUCAAAGUUGAUUUUAACCCUAUCCCACAACCACUAUCCGGUUGCUGAAGCUCUAGCUCUGCGCAAUAGCCUCGUGUAUGCUAAUUAAAGAGCGAGGCUUCUCCAAGAUUGAAGUUGAGGGCGAUUCUAAGUUGGUGAUUGACGCCGUGAAUGGAGUGUCGACCCCUCUGUGGAAGUUACUCAAACUAAUUCAUGAUAUCAAAGUCUUGAGUAAUUCCUUUGAGUUUGUAUGCUUUCAGCAUGUGUUUAGGGAAGCAAACUUUGUGGCUAAUGCUUUAGCCAAUCUUAGAUAUAGGCUGAGUAACCUACGCUGCUAGGAGAAGUGUGUUCCCCCGGAAGUGUCUUCUGCUCUUGCCUUUGACAUUGUAAACCUUGGGUGCAUUAGAGACACCUCCAUCUAAUAUAUUUUUUUUUNNNNNNNNNNNNNNNNNNNNNNNNNNNNNNNNNNNNNNNNNNNNNNNNNNNNNNNNNNNNNNNNNNNNNNNNNNNNNNNNNNNNNNNNNNNNNNNNNNNNNNNNNNNNNNNNNNNNNNNNNNNNNNNNNNNNNNNNNNNNNNNNNNNNNNNNNNNNNNNNNNNNNNNNNNNNNNNNNNNNNNNNNNNNNNNNNNNNNNNNNNNNNNNNNNNNNNNNNNNNNNNNNNNNNNNNNNNNNNNNNNNNNNNNNNNNNNNNNNNNNNNNNNNNNNNNNNNNNNNNNNNNNNNNNNNNNNNNNNNNNNNNNNNNNNNNNNNNNNNNNNNNNNNNNNNNNNNNNNNNNNNNNNNNNNNNNNNNNNNNNNNNNNNNNNNNNNNNNNNNNNNNNNNNNNNNNNNNNNNNNNNNNNNNNNNNNNNNNNNNNNNNNNNNNNNNNNNNNNNNNNNNNNNNNNNCACUCUCUCUCUCUCUCUCUCUCUCUCUCUCUCUCUCUCUCUCUCUCUCUCUCUCUCUCUCUCCACCGUUGAGCAGCAACGAUUCUGGCAACACCGGACGGCGAGACCGCCACUGAAGUGAUCCUCUCCUCCUCCUCAACUCAGCCCAGUCCUUUAAUUCGGAAGACAUCCACUUUUGGCGGAGAUCGAUGGAGGAGGACGGUGACUAUCCUUCAUUGUUUUCCGGCGAGGGCUCAGGCUCCGAUCACUGAUCCACCUAGCGACGGUGAGUCCCUUCCUCCUCUCUUCCUUCUGCACAGUCUAGUGCUUUAUUUCCUUCAAAUCGAGACCUAACUCAGAAAUCCCCUUGUGUUUCUGAGUUUCUUGAGCUUCUUUUCCUGCGAUUGUGUUCUUCGUGUUCUGGUGGCGACCACGAGCUCCGACGAGCGUAGUUCAUCCUUGGAGAUGCCGGGACUUAGAGUUGGGAAGCUUUGGGGCAGUUGCUGUUGUGCAGCAUCGUGGCAAAGGGACUGCUUAUUGAUUUCAAGCAAGGAGAGGUUGCUGGGUUUGAGUGGUGUACAGAUUGGAGGUAAGGAGUUUGAUUUGGUCGGCUGUGUUGUUGUUUGUGUUGCGGUUAUUGAGUUGGAUUGUGACUAAAAUCAUUGUUGUGGUUGAUACUUGUCGAUGUCAAUAACUUGGUGAUAGGAGUUUAUGAGGAGGCUAUGGCAAAAUUCCGGUAAGUCGUCGGAAUCUGGCAAGAGAUUUCGACGAGGGCAGAAUCAUGCAGAGACUAUUGAGGUAGUUAUCGAUGUUUUUCCCUGCUAUUGUGUAUCGUUUCAAUAAUAGGAAAGUUUGUAGGUUGUAAUCGGAAAUCUUUCUAAGUGAGGAAAGUUUCUAUUUUAGGAAACUUUCCCUUUUUGGGAAACUUUCUAUUUAUGGAAACCCAUUGUUGGGUGCCCUUAGUGAUUUAUGGGGUGAAGUUGUGUUGAGAGGAAGUAUAUGGGGAUUGUAUGGGUGAAGAAACAAUUGUAAUUGUGUUGUAAUUGAGGAUUUCUCGGAUGAAGAAAUUGGAUAAUCGAGGAAUGGAUUUAGUGAAAAGGUUUGUUCUUAUUUAAGAUCUAAUUGAUUUCAAGUGAAGCAAAUAAUUGAUUUAUUAAAAUGAUUGUUGGAUUUGAAUUGGAUGGUUAAGAGUAAUCAAGGUAACCCGAAUUUUCAAGUCGAAGGUUAGAGUGGAAAAUGUUGAAACUUCGUUACUUGGCCAACCCUAAUUUAAUUGGUCAAUUUUGGUCAACUCAGGAAAUCUAGCCAAACUAGGAAGAAUUUGAAUCCAUGAUUAUUAUGGUGUUUGGUCUGACCGAUUUAUUCUUCUAUUUAUCGUCAGACGUGGGAUUGGCUAGAGAAUGUGAAUAGUUUGAGGCAGCGCUCGAGGAGUAUUCCGAGCAUUGGAAGACUUAGGCCUAAUACGGUGAGUGGACUUUUGUUUUAAAUAAUAUGCAUGCAAAUGGUUUAUUGUUGAGCAAUUUCUUUUGUUGGAGCAUUUGACGUCAUUUUAUUUUGACGAUUUCUUUUAUUUUGGAGAGUUACCGAAAAUGAGAUUUUCGGUGGAUAUGUAUAUGGAUUCUUAUGAGUAUAGUAUAAAUGCUAGCUAGCCUUACGUGUUUGGUCCGUCAUAAUAAGGUAAAAUUCCAUUAUGGCGUGACGUAAGUGUUAGACACAAGCGUCAUAGCCCUAUAUGAAAACUAUUUUCAUAUCUAGUUCAUAUAGAUUUUCAUAUAGGGAGUCCACACGUAUAUACACCCGUCCUCUUCGGUCAUAAUGAGGAAAAAUUUCAUUAUGGCGCGACGUGAGCGUUAGACGCAAGCGUCGUAGCCUUGUAUGAAUUUCUAUUUUUCUAUUUUGUUCAUAGAAUUCGUACAAGGAGUCUGACGAGUGUAAAUACAUACAUAUAUGUAUAGUUUAACCUGAGAUUCUGUAUUUUAUUAAGUUUUGGAGACUAGCUCAUGUAUUUGCCAGUUUAUGAGUUGAAAGCUUUUGAGCUGUCGCAUGCAGCAUAUUUUAUAUGGAAAUUAAAUUGGGGAAGCAUAAAGAAAUAUUGUUAUUAAAUUUAUUUUUGUCCACUCACUCUAACGUGUUUUCAAAUGUUUUCCCAUGCGCCAUUUGUUUUAAAAAUGCUCAGUAUGCAGGUUAGCUUAGUUGAGGUCGGGCGUACAUGAAGAAGAGACAUAGUCAAUAGUAUAGUUUCUGCUCAUUUCUAUAUUUCUAGUUCUUUUCUUCUCCAUUAGAGCUGUUCUGAACUGUGAUUGUUGGUUAUGGGAUUAUUCUUAUUAAGUUAGUAAAUAAAUUGGGAGAUGUUGUGAUUUGGGGAGCACGAAGGCUCCAGGAGUAGAGGGUUAUAGAUGGAUUUUUUCGAAGUGUUUGCAGGUAUUUCUAGGAAGGGUUGUCCAUUUUCAAGAGAGAUUAUGUCGAAUUUUCGGUAAAUUUUCCUUGGAGGUGGUCCCCGCAGGAUUUACUUCGGGUUUCAGGGUGAAAUUCGAGGUGGGUCCUGACACCAAGUGAGGAUUUUUAAAAAUGUUUAGGUGAUGUGAUAAUGAAAUUGGAAAAUAUCAAAUAACAAUUAAAACAUUCAUCUAACCAUUCAUUCAAAAGUCUACAUAUAAUUCUCGUUAUAAGUAGGAUGGCAAUGGGUAGGGUAGGAUACGGGGAUCAAAAUACCGUAUCCAUACCCUUUUACAUUUCUCAUCCCCGUACCCGUAAUUAGAUAAUGGGGAUUUCCCGUACCCGUACCCUUUGGGGAUUACGUUUCCAUACCCGUACCCGUACCCGUUAACAAUUAUGUAUUAAAUUAAAUUUUUUUUUAAAUACGAAAUACAUUAUAUAAAAGUAUGAAAUUAAAAUCAAAUACCAAAAUAAAUAAGUUUCAUGCUUCAAUCCAAUAAAAAUAAAUACAAGUUUUGGUUAAAACAGAACAAUACCGAUAAAUUUCAUUAAGAAAAUAAAAAUAUAUAAUAAAAAGGAAGGUCCGUUUAUUAAGAGAAUCACAAAUUUUUUUACAUAAAUAUUUAUUUAUAAAUUAUAUAUAAAUAUAUAUAAUAAAUUAUAUAAUUAUAUAUAAUAAUAUUUUCAUCCUUAAUAGGUGGGGAUAGGGACGAAUAUCAAAAUAUCAUACCCGCCCCGUACCCGAUUUAAGAAUCCGAAUACUGGGGAUCCCCAUCUCCAUUACCCAUUUAUAACCGUAUAUCUUCCUCGUUAGAGUCGAAUACCCGUGGGUACCCUACCCGCUAGGGAUUAUUGCCAUCCUUAGUUAUAAGGUUCUCAUUAGAAGUUUUCCCACUAAUGAAAUCGAAAAUUAGAAAGUCGCAACCUAGCUAUCUAUCAUGACGAAAACUAACAAAACCCGAUGAAGUAUCACACCAAGGAACUCUAGAUCUAACGUAUAUCUGUCUUUUGUGAUCCAAAAAACACGCGUACGACAUAUUACAUUGACUUACAACAUUUGGUGUACGGUAAUACCGUAUACCGUAUACCAUUUCCUAAACAUUUUCUCAAAAGUUAUACCAAGCACAACACCCAUAUAGGCAUAUUUAAGAAGUCCAAAAAGAAAUAAAGUUCAUUUUUCUCGGUCUUCACUAUCCGAUUUAAGUUUGUUUAACCCUAUACAGUCCAUUAUUUCAAGGAUCAAAACAAUUGAUAAUCGGAUUCGAUGCUAAUGAUCGACUUGGCUUUAAGGUGAUGGAAACCACUUCCAAUGGCCAGAAAAGACUUGAUUGGAGACUCCAAAAUAUAUAACUAGCUAGAUUCCGUAUUUCAUACCAAAUAGGAUCUCAAAUUAUAUAAAGUGAGAAAGCAAACUCAAACUAUCAAAAUGUUGUCGAAAUAUAUGGAUGGAGUUCUUGCAAAUUCUAUAUAUUUGAACCAAAGGAGAGUACGUACGUAGUACCUAUAGCUAUCUAAGGUUAGUCAGUUACUCAAUUUUAUUAGACUUCAUCAAUCGCUUUUCGUCUUUCACUCUAUAUAUGCCAUUUUGAAGUAGGUAUAACCAAGGAAAGGAAGUAGAAGAAGAAGGAAAUUUCAUUAUAAGCCAUACGAUUACAAGUGCAUAUAUAGUACGUAGUAGCUAGUUAUUGUCUUAGUGCGUUAGACCUCUCGUACUACAAGAGAGCCAUACAGGACUACCUUUAUUCAUUCUCUACCCCUUAAGCUAGCUUAGUGCCAAAACACUACGUGCCGCAUCAUAUUUUUACAUUUCGAUCAUCACAAUGAUUUAAGCAAUAGCCCAUCAGCUCUUCUGGGGCAUGGCAGCCGACCUUGAGGAGCUCAAGGCAACGAUCUCCUGCCUGUUGUACUUGAGGUUCCUAGCCUGCUGACGGUCCAUCUGGUAAGCGUUGGCGAGGACCACGUCGGGGAGUGAUCGCAGGACGGAGGUCCUACCAGCCAUGGUGUUGAUCAUGGCAUUGUCUUGGGUCUUAAAGGCAAUGUACUCGUAUCCAUUGCUCAUGGCCUUUUGCAACACGGCGUGGUUUUGCGGCACGAUGAAGAGCUGUCCCUGGCGGACCUGGUCGUCCAAGAUGCAGUCGCCAUUGUCGUUCACCACCUGAACCCUAGCGCUGCCCCUGAUGACGUAGUAUACUUCAUGGGCGUUCAAGUUCCAGUGUGGGCUGUAGAUAGCGUUCUGCAUUUACAACGUAUCAAUCACUUUUAAUUACUUAAGCUCAAACAAUUAAUUGGUAACUAAUUAAAAUGAACUAAUAAAUGCAUGGAAAAGAAUACUGACGUUGUAGAAGAAGCCUCUCUCAGCGCUGAGACGGAGGCGCCUGAGAAUAGGCAUGGUGAAGGCGUUGAGGGUGCUGAUGCGACCGGCUUGCGGGCUGAAGACGUCGGCCAUUGUAGGCCUUCCGAUGUUUUGUCUCAUCUUCAUGUGGCAGAAGAGCUCCUCCAUGCCGUUCUCUUCAUAUUGUCCUUGUUGUCCCUGCAUUUGUGUUCCUUGGAUUUGCCUUUCCUCCCUCAUUGACUCUGGGGGCUGGAUGAAGUCGAGGCGUCCCUGUACCCUAACAAUCUGUGGCCUGUUGUCGUUCAUUCCCUGGAGCUGCUGGGCGGUCUGUUGGUCGAUGUUAAGAGCGUCGGCGAGGAGCUGUGUGUCGAAGCCGGAGAAGACGUUGUUGUAGUUCCCCUGCAUUUGGUGCCUGCUCUUUCCUUGUUGUCUCCGGAUCCGUGGGCUUUGGCCUUGUUGGGUGAACUCAUCUUGUGGGUUACCAGCAAGGUAGAAUCUCUAUAUAUAAAGAGAGAUUAAGCAGCAACAAGUCAGUGAACAUUACCCUAAACUAUUUUUGGUACAUGCAAGAAUAUAUACUGAAUGAAAUGUGGUAAGAAAUUGUACCCUUGGGAUUCGGUCCAGCUGGUUGUGCUGGUUGCUCAUGUCAAGAAGACUGACGAAAACAAGAGGUUCGUUAGCGUCGUUGUAACUCCAGCAGGUGACACCAGCAGGAAUGGCGAUAACAUCACCUUCCCUGACGCGUCGGACCUUCUGGUGACGGUCGAGCUGAUCAUAGCUCUCUUGCUGGCCUUGCUGGCCCAUUUGUCCCUCUCGGCGUAUAAUCUGUUGCCGGCGGCCUUGUUGGCCUUGAGAUUGUCGUUGCUCUUCAACAGAUUGUUCGGUUUCUUCGAAAGUCUCGGGACAGCCGGGGAGAACCAUUCCUAGAUGACCCAUACCUGCAAUACUCAUAGCAAUAAGUUAACAGUCCAUCGACAAACGCUAGCUAGCUACAUGCAAUUUCGGUAUAACUAAUGAAGUGAUAUGAUAUUACCUCGGACGACGUAAACGAGUCGUGGAGUGUUAACGUAAGAAGGCAGGUGGAGGCCGUUGUUCUCAAUGGUGAUCUUCUGAACGGCGACGCCAGCGCACUGGAAGUCAUCCUGGUUGUAGUCCCAGGACUCGAUCCGACCUGCUUCAGUCUCAAUGCGGUUGUCGGGCUCGCGGGCUUGGAUCCGGUUCAGCAUGCACUCAUUUUGCUGGCUGAACUGAGUUUGUCGCCGACUGGCUAAGCAGCCGUGGAAGAGAACAAGUAAGCAAAGAGAGAAAGCGAGAGCUAAGUGCUUGGCCAUUGUGAUGAUCAAUGGCAGAUAGCUAGUUGUGGGUUGUGAUGAUGAAGUGGAGAGUAGAGCGUUGGUAUUUAUAGGAGAUGAGAGGAGGUGAGGGUGAGAAUAGUGCAAAUGAUGUGUAAGGAAUCUCAUGCCAUUCUUCUCUUUGCAUGGCUAUUAGUAUUUCACAUUCUUACACCUCAUUUCUCUUCCAGGGCAGGUGGCUCUUGGCUUCAGAGAAGGUUUAAAGUUAUAAGAACAAGGUGGCAACCAGGUGGGGUGGCCAUGAUUGUUUGCAAGUGAAGCAAAUUUCACCUCCCCGAACCUCGUGCAAUGCAUGAACUCGAAUAAUUAACUCAUGAAUCAGAUCUGAAACUGUUUCAUGUUCGUGAAGAAAUAUUACAUCAGUACCAUCCCGAACUAUCUAUAAUUUACGGAGGUGAAACAUAAGAUGAUAAGAACUUUAUCAUCUUCCAAAUAGUAAUAUCCAUAUUCCUUUACUCCCUUUGUAUGUAAUUCAAAUGUAGUAUUUAAGACUUUUUGAACAUUUUUCAAGAAUGAUCUCUGGACUCGGCGCGCUCUUAUGUAUAAGAGUUCCUUUACCUGCUAAUAAAUCUAAAUAACUUAUAUAUAUAUAUAAACGGAUUUUCUCAGCUGCGGACGUCCGCACCAAUUUUUUGGUGCGGAUUUCUAUUUUUUCAUCACUUUUCGAUCGAAUUUCCUCAUCUCCACCGUCUAGUAUCUAGAUAAUAUUGUGUAGAUCAUCUCUGCAANNNNNNNNNNNNNNNNNNNNNNNNNNNNNNNNNNNNNNNNNNNNNNNNNNNNNNNNNNNNNNNNNNNNNNNNNNNNNNNNNNNNNNNNNNNNNNNNNNNNNNNNNNNNNNNNNNNNNNNNNNNNNNNNNNNNNNNNNNNNNNNNNNNNNNNNNNNNNNNNNNNNNNNNNNNNNNNNNNNNNNNNNNNNNNNNNNNNNNNNNNNNNNNNNNNNNNNNNNNNNNNNNNNNNNNNNNNNNNNNNNNNNNNNNNNNNNNNNNNNNNNNNNNNNNNNNNNNNNNNNNNNNNNNNNNNNNNNNNNNNNNNNNNNNNNNNNNNNNNNNNNNNNNNNNNNNNNNNNNNNNNNNNNNNNNNNNNNNNNNNNNNNNNNNNNNNNNNNNNNNNNNNNNNNNNNNNNNNNNNNNNNNNNNNNNNNNNNNNNNNNNNNNNNNNNNNNNNNNNNNNNNNNNNNNNNNNNNNNNNNNNNNNNNNNNNNNNNNNNNNNNNNNNNNNNNNNNNNNNNNNNNNNNNNNNNNNNNNNNNNNNNNNNNNNNNNNNNNNNNNNNNNNNNNNNNNNNNNNNNNNNNNNNNNNNNNNNNNNNNNNNNNNNNNNNNNNNNNNNNNNNNNNNNNNNNNNNNNNNNNNNNNNNNNNNNNNNNNNNNNNNNNNNNNNNNNNNNNNNNNNNNNNNNNNNNNNNNNNNNNNNNNNNNNNNNNNNNNNNNNNNNNNNNNNNNNNNNNNNNNNNNNNNNNNNNNNNNNNNNNNNNNNNNNNNNNNUAUAUAUAUAUAUAUAUAUAUAUAUAUAUAUAUAUAUAUAUAUAGGUUUCAACCGCAAGAGGUUAGUUCAGCACUAGUAAAUAUAUAAUUACAUGGCACAUGGAAGUGAUGGAACAAAGAAGUGAUACGCAAAUCAUCAAACUAUCACAUACGGCCUGAAACUUUGUGCUAAUACGUACAUAUGCCCUUCAAAUAUCCCUUAAACUUGUCAUAUUGUCAUAUAUAUUGACAUGCAUUUCAUUUGCAUCAAUGCAGAAUCAAACCCUUCGUAUAAAAUAAAAAUAAAAAUGCAGAAUCAAACCCUGACGUUAAUACAAGGAUAUUAGUUCCUAUGUCACUAACCGAUCGAUUUGGUGCAUCAAGUGCUCACCCAUGUACAAUCCCAAACAUAUGAUUCAUAUGAUAUGAAAUAGGCCAUCACAACCGAGAACUCACCGCCCCUCCUCUAUUUAACCCUGAGCUUAGAUAUCAAUCAUAUGAAACGCAUUCAUUUCCACAAGUGAAUUAAAAACCUCUGAAGGCUUAAUUAGCCGUUUAGGGUUCAUAUAUGGAUCUCUCAGUAAUUUGAAUUUGGCCACUUAUUCGAUCUUGUCAAACGAAGGACGCAAGGCAAUCUUUAGCUACUAGUUGUCCUUAGCGAUGAUCAUUAAGCACGUACGUACAGUUUCUAUAAUAAACUUUCUUAUUUCUUUCUAUUACAAUGGUUUGAAGCUUUUCUGUGCUAAUUGAUUCGUAAAGCUCGAGAGUACGUAGCUAUAUAUAUCCCAAUCAUUAAGGACCCUAUUAAUCAAAGUGAACAAUUAGCUUCAGGAUAACUGAGUAGGAAUAAUGGAGUAGCACCGGGAAAUAAGUCGGAAAAUACGUUCGUCCGGACUAAGUACGUAUGUGUGCGUCCGGACUCUCUUUUAUUUACUUUCUUUUGUCAAUGCAAAUCAUAAUCUUAACCGUUCAAAAGUUGAAUUAACCUAUAUAGAUCAUCUCUACAAAAUUUCAAUGUAAACAAACAUCGUUUUCUUAGUCGAUUACAUUAAACAAAUUGACAGUUCUAGUGAAAGUUAACAGUCUCAUGAUCAGUCGUCCAUUUGUUUGAUACAUUCGGCUUAGAAAACAAUGUUUGUUUACAUUGAAAUUUUGCAGAGGUGAUCUCCAUAUAUAGGUACGUAAAUAAGAAAGAGUUCAGACGCACACGUACAAACUAGUCCGAACGCAAAUAUUUUCCAAAUAAACUAGUCCGAACGCAAGUAUUUUCCAAAUAAGUUAAAUGACAAAAGCCAAAGUUUACAAGUACAUAAGAUUAGACCGAGUGUAAUGAUAAAAUGCGUGCACCAAAUCGGAAAUUGAGACUGAGAAUAAGAUUAAACACUCUGUAGUGUGUACUUACGUAGAGUUUAUCUAUCAAACUUGUUGUCGAAUUUGCUUUGAGGCAAAACCACCUAGCUACUUCAAAUUGGCGUGUAAGAUGAUGCUUAUAGUUGUGGACUUGUGGGUAAUGAGUUGAGAUUAAGUUAGAGUGACUGCGAGAGCGGUAUGUUGGAGUCUUCAAAAUAUAACCCAUUUUACAUUUCUCCUAUUCUAUGAUUAUUCUUUUUUCUUAUCCUAUGUUCUAUAAGUAGAUAACACAAUUGUCAAUUCUUUUAUUUUUCUUCUCUGUUCUAAAAAAACAAAAGAAUGUCUAAAUGUUGAAUCAACCAUAUAACAAAUUAAGCAAUACACUAAAAGAAGCUGCAGCUACCAGCUUGCUUUGGUCAAUUUGUUAUAUACUAAAGAUAUACCAAUUAUUCAUCAACGUCGACUCGGGUCAACGUACCACAUAGAUAUGCAAUAUGAAAGGGAAGAGUAUAUCAUCAAGGCAAACCAAAAAAGUGAAAACUUCAUUAGAAAGCAUAACGUUACAAGUACGUACAUAUACGUAGCAGCUAGUACUAUAACUUAGUACAUUGGAUCUCCCAUACUACAAAAGAGCCAUACAAGGCACUUUUAUUCCCUCGAACUGACGAACUCUACCCCUUAGCUAGCUUGAUGCUAAAACACUACAUGCCGCAUCACAUUUUUACAUACAUAUAUUGAUAUAUUUAAGCACUAGCCCUCUCGGACUGGAAAGAUCUUGAGGAGCUCAAGGCAACAGUCUCCUGCCUGUUGUACUUGAGGUUCCUUGCCUGCUGACGGUCCAUCUGGUAAGCAUUGGCGAGGACCACGUCGGGGAGUGCCCGGAGGACGGAGGUCCUGCCAGCCAAGGUGUUGAUUAUGGCAUUGUCUUGUGUCUUGAAGGCAAUGUACUCGUAUCCAUUGCUCAUGGCCUUUUGCAGCACGGCGUGGUUCUGCGGCACGAUGAAGAGCUGUCCCUGGCGGACCUGGUCGUCCAAGAUGGUCUCACCGUUGUCGUUCACCACCUGAACCCUAGCGCUGCCCCUGAUGACGUAGUACACUUCAUGGGCGUUCAAGUUCCAGUGUGGGCUGUAGAUAGCGUUCUGCAUGUACCACAUAAUAACCAUAAUUAAAACUGCUAAAUUAAACUCCACCAUAACUUGAUUAGACUUAGUUGAUAGACAAAUCAAUAUGCAUGCAUAUAUACUCACGUUGUAGAAGAAGCCUCUCUCAGCGCUGAGACGGAGGUGCCUGAGAACGGGCAUGCUAAGGCCAUUGAGGACGCUGAUGCGACCGGCUUGUGGGCUGAAGACGUCAGCCAUUGAAGGCUUGCCGAUGUUCUGCUUCAUCUUCAUGUGGCAGAAUACCUCCUCAAAACCAUUCUGUCCUUGUCGUCCUUGUUGUUGUCUUUCCUCCCUCAUUGACUCUGGGGGCUGGACGAAGUCGAGGCGUCCCUGAACCCUAACGAUCUGUGGCCUGUUGUCGUUCUGUCCCUGGAGCUGUUGGGCGGUCUGUUGGUCGAUGUUGAGAGCAUCGGCAAGGAGUCUGGUGUCGAAGCCGGCAAAGACGUUGUUGUUGUUGUUUCCCUGUUGUUGGUGUCUGAUCUUUCCCUGUUGUCUCGCGAUCGAAUGUCGGCUUUGGCCUUGUUGGGUGAACUCAUCUUGUGGGUUACCAGCAAGAUAGAAUCGCUGCUCAUACAGAUCAAGCAGCCAUUGAGUUAAACGAUUUUGUAACAUUGUAUCCAUAUAUAUAAUCAGGUGUCAGUAAGAAAAUCCAUAUAUAAUUAUAUAUUAUCAAAACGUUGAUAAGAAAAGGUACCCUUGGGAUUUGGUCAAGUUGGUUGUGAAGGUUGCUGGUGUCUUGAAGACAGACGAAAACAAGAGAUUGGUCACCGUCGUUGUAGGACCAGGUUGUGACUCCGGCGGGGACGGCGAUAACGUCACCUUCCUUGACGGGUCGCACUUUCUGGUGUCGGUCUAGCUGUUCGAAGCUCUCUUGUUGUCCCUGUUGGCCUUGUCGGCGUCCAAUUUGCUGGCGACCUUGUUGCCCUUGCCCUUGCUGUUGCGAGCCCUGUAGUUGUUCCUCGUAAGAUUGCUCGGUUUCUUCGAAAGUCUCGGGACAUCCGGGGAUCACCAUUCCUAGUUGACCCCUACCUGAAAUAGAUCACGUAUAAAAGACAGUAAGUUAACCUUGCUCAAGCACAACAUGCAAUUUAGUCAUAAGUUGAUCAGAAAAAGCGACGUUUAGAUAUUACCUUGGACAACGUAAAGGAGGCGAGGACUGUUGGUGUAAAAAGGCAAGUGAAGGCCGUUGCGCUCGACGGUGAUUCUCUGAACGGCGACUCCGGCGCACUGGAAGUCAUCCUGGUUGUAGUCCCAUGACUCGAUCCGACCCGCCUCGGUCUCAAUGCGGUUGUCGGGCUCGCGGGCUUGGAUCUGGUUCAGCAUGCACUCAUUUUGCUGGCUGGACGGAGAUUGUUGGCGAUAGGCUGAGCAGCCAUGAAAGAGAACAAGCAAGCAGAGAGAGAGAGCUAAAGACCUGGCCAUUUUGUAGAGUGGAUACUAGCUAUAGCUACUUGGGUGAGGAAGAGAGUGGAGAGGGGUUGGGAUUUAUAGGGUAGCGAAAGAGGUAAGGGAGGGACACGUACGUUGAGGAAGGGGUUGCAUGUGUAUAAGGCAUCUUCAGCCAUCUUUCUGUUUGCAUGGUGUGAAGGUUUGAAGGGUUUACACCUCAUUUCUGUGGUCUGAGGCAGGUGGCUUUGGUGAAGAAGAAGAUACAAAGUGCAUGGGAUAUAUGUGGCGAGAGGAUGGAGUCUCCAGUAUUGUCCGGAUGCAAACUGAAACUGCUUUUGAAGUUUACUGCCUUAAUUUUGGUAAAUAUGGAGAAAAAUACAUACAGUUUGUGAAAAGUAAAAUAAAUAAAGGAACUCCAUCAACUCAUCUGAACAUUGGGAAUUUGGGAUAAAUAACUAGUUAUCUCGAUCUGAUCUCAGAUAUGCAUGGCCUAAACUUACAUCCUACACUACCAUAGCUGCAAUGUAUAUUAAUACACAUGAAUCUAACCAAGCUCCUUAUAACUAGAAAAUAGAAUUGUUCUUUUUUUUCUUCUUUAAUUUGUAUCUUGGGUAUCAGUACUUUAACUGAUAUAUAACAACUGGAAAACUGUACAACAGCGUCUUGUACGGAAGUGCAAUGUAGGACGUAUUUUAUAUAGGAAAAUUCAAGGUAUUGGACUGUUUGCUAUACAAUGUAUUUUUAAAUAUUUUCGAUCAUCGGUUCUUGAAUUUUAAGAAAUAUGGUAACCGGUUUGGGGUUGUCUACGUAUAGAGAUGUGUAUAUUAUACUCAUUUUACAACUAAUUAAACCAAACUUAUAAUUUAAUGAAAAUAAAUAUACGACGAUGACAACAAACCUACCAGUUGAUUAUGUCAACUCAUUUGAAAUUACUAAUGAAGACACAUAAGCGUAAAAAAUAAUAAUAAUCCUCUUUUUCUUUCAUUACAGUAGUCUUCAUCUAGAAGAAAAAAUUCUUUUCCAACAUAAACACUAACAGAUACGUCGAACUCCAUGGAAGAUAGUGACAUUGUUUUGGAGUAUAUGCACAAUGUAUGAGUUUCUUGUUUUUUUUUUUUUUUUUUUUUGUUUCUUUUUUUGUAUGAAUUCACAAAUGUAUUAUUGUAAUUGUUUCAAUAAGAAGGAAACUUGUUGUCGACUAAGCAGAGUUUGCCCGUCCUAUUACUACAAAGAUUUUGAAGUUGUUUUUUUCUUUGUGUAUACUAAACACUCGUAAAUUUUCUUUAUUCAAAAGAAAAGUGUAUACUGACAAUCUCUUCUCCCUAAUAGAAAUAGCUUUAUGAUAUAGCGGCAAAAGACAAAUCUUGAGUUUUGGAUUUCGUUAUAAGAACUUGAUAAUUUUAUAAGAAAGUAAAUUAAUGGGUUGUUAUAUAUAGAGCUUGAGUAUAUAUACAUGGACUCUUUUUGAUAAUUUUAAGAGAAUGUUCUAGGAUAUUCUGUAUCUUUCUAGAUAUUCUUUAUGUGUGCAUUGGCCUUAUGCCAAUAGGAUAUGUAGUUAGACUAAUUCUAUGUAUUCAUAUCCUUACCAUAUUGGUAUUGUGUAAUUCCCUAUAUAAAGGGCUCAUAUCAAUGAAUAAGAUGAUGAUUCUCUUGCUAUCUCUUUCUCUACACUUUAUAUUUCAUCACGUUAUCAUGCACUUUGUUAUAACCCUAGAGCCAAUAGCCCACCAUUUGUUUUCCAAACCCUAAAAUCUGACAGCCUUGUUUUUCCUGAUUUCCGACCAAAAUUCCGACUGCCCUCUGCCGGAGUUUUAUAUCCCCAGAAAGCUCUCUCCGUCCUGGAUCCAACGCCGCCGGCCUCACCCUGAGAACCGGCCGGAAAGUCUUCGAACCGGCCGCUAGAAGAUUCCAGACCGCCGCCGCUACCGACCACCGGUUCACCACCUUCCCUUGCUCCGAUCAACCUGAAAUUUUGACAGCAGCUUCCCCAUCCAGAGCUGCUCAUUCUGUCAAAUUUUCAGCCCCAAAUUCGAAGUAUAAGUAGGCGAAACGUUAUUUCUCCUCUCGGCAGCCUCUAGAAACCAAAGAUUUCAAGAUUGGUCGUCUUCCAAGGAAACCAGAAAGGUAUGUUUUGAAACCUUAAACUUUUCCAAGUUCAAUAACUCGGGGAGGAUAAAAUCUUUUCCGCCCUUCUCUAUCUCCAUUCUAUGCUUGGGAUUUUGUGUGUGCAGGUACCAAAAAUCCCGGAAUUUUAUUCGCGGGUCAAGAGUGUAUUUGAUCACUCUUGCUUCCUUGUCCAGGUUGUGUAUGAUCAACCCCAACCUUUCUCCGGAUUGUGUUUGAUCAAUCCGAGGCCUUUUCCGAAUUGUGUUUGAUCAAUUCGCGACUUUUUCCGGAUUGUGUAUGAUCAAUCCGAAGGACAAACCAUUAAAAGCAUUGUUUGUGACCUCUAUCGAGUCUCAUAACAGCUUGGUUUUGUAUGCAAGAGCAACGUAACAUUCUGCUCAUUGAGUUUUGACGUACUCGAUACCUAAGACGAAUCUUCGCUUGGUAUCUGUGGAACAUUUCACUGGAAAGGAUUAAACAACAUAUUUUGACCCCCAGGCUAACAAGCCUAGAUGCCGAGAUUUCACAUCUCAUGCGCUCAAAGUCUUUGACGCGCCACAUCGACAAGCCUUCAAUGGCAAUCUGUGUAAAAAGUAAUGACCACAAAGUACUAUGGAAUGCACUCAUGGAGCGUUUCUUGAAACGUCCAUAUAACUCUACUUGUUGAGUUAUUAGUCAAGUGGAUUACUUACCGCCUUAAUUGACUACAUAUUGUCGAUGAUCAUUUGUGGCAUCAUGAUCCAUAACCUUUAGCGGAUUCGAUCAUCAUCAAGUUCUCUAGGUCCUCCAAGUUGGUUUGGAAUUACCAACGAGACUUGAUUUUGAUCAUACAAACGGGAAUUGUAUAUAUACGCUAAUGUGAUAAAUUUAUUUAGGAUUAUCCCCUAAAUGUGGGAACAACAAUAUGGGUCAUGACAACGGCAGAAAACGUCGUGCCGAUGUCUAGAAAAGAGGGGGAGGUGUCACCGGCUCUAAUAGCAACACUCCCGGUCUAGACACCAUUUUGUCAAAACUACUCACGUCAGCUCAUGACAACGCAACCAUUGUGGAUCUUCGGAUCACUGGUUCAAGAUUGUCAAGCUCCUUCAAAUUGUGAAUGCAUACAAAAAGGUAUAGAAAAUCAAUAUGAGGACAAGAACAUCAUCCUCAUGAUCGCGAAUUUCAAAGAUUCGGAUCCUGCUCUAGCUACCCAUGACUUUGACGUCAUCGACUAGACAUUGAUUUUCGUUCCAAGCUAUAUGUACUAAGGCGUUGAGACCUUGAUGUACUCACAUUAGCAAUAACGAAUGCCUUGAGAAUUUUUUCGAAGUUAUAAAACUAUUCUCCUCUUAUGGUUCGUAUUGAUUUACAAACAAGAUUUACAUUUUUACAUCGUCCUUAGAAGCAUGGCAUAUUUACAAUCUACAUGGUUAGAUUGUGCAGUUUUGGUCUCUUCCAAGUGGAGAUGACGCACGCCCUUGCAUCCUUAAGUAGGAUCGCUAACGUGUUUCCGGUUAAGUCUUCUACCCUAUAGCAGAUUUUUCAUCAUCAAUUGUUCAACUAGGCUCAUCCAAGCUCAGUGUGAUGUCUUAGAAUUGCCCGAAAUUAAGGAGAUAGUGGUUUCAAGUGUGCCUCGCACUACCGACCCUCCACGGACAUGCCUGGUCAUACUGACUUGGAGUUACCGAAAGCUUUUGAUUUUGGAUCCCCCUACGCUAUUAAACCAAUUGCCGUCUUGCAAAAGAUGUUGAAGACUUAUCAAAAACCGGAAAAUUAUCAUCAUGAUCUAAUCCUCUAGGUCCUCUGAGUUAGUUUAUGUUCAUGUCAGGGAGAUUUUGCUAACUAGUCAUGGAGUUUACGACCUUAGAAUGACCGAAAGGACUUUGUUUUGAUCAUACACACGUCACUUGUGGCUAAGGCAAAAUCCUACACGCCACUUGCAAGCUUCACAGCUUCGCACAUGCCAAUUCUGCGAAAAACAGCAAUCUGUCCCUUCUGGACAGUCAACUUCGUUUGCGUUUUGUGAACAGCUCCGGACGAACCAGACAAUAAGCUUUAUAUCAUUGGAAAGCUCUAUGAGUCUAGUUUUCAGAACUUUUCGCGGUUCAUCUAUAUCUAUUUUAACAAGGAAGUUAUGGCUGUUUUAGUGCGCAAAAGUCAUUCUGCGCGGAAAUUUUUAUGCACUCUCGGGAUUGCAGCUUUUCGUAGCUUCUUUCAAUCCUUCUAAAUAGUUCAAGUGGAACUAUUAACUAGCCUAUCUACUCCUUCUUGUAGAUAUGUCUCAUCGAGACAUUGAGUGCUUCGCAGAUAGUGGAACUAUCCAUAACAUUCUAAGGAACCGGCAACUAUCUUUGGAUUUUGUGUCUUUGUAAAUCUUCUGUGACUACAAUGAUUGAAUCAUACCGGUCAUUCAAGGACGCGGUUUAGCUUAAAUCUUGAUGCCUCAUGGAACCAUGAUCAAUGUCACAGAUACCCUCUAUGCAUUGAGAGGCAAUCGAACCAUAUUGAGCUCUAAAGACAUUCCUGCUAAUAGUUUUCAUUUGAAAACACAUUGUGAGAAUGAACAAGAAUUCUUUUGUGUAUACCUUCUCAUGAAUGCGGACUGAAGUGCAUCUUGGAGAAAUUCAUGAGUCAAUCUAGUGGACUGUAUGUCACUAUGAUUCGAAUAUGAUUCGAAUAUCGAAUCUCAUGUUGUCACCAAACAUGAUAUUUGGGACACUGACUCAUAUAGGCUUUGGUUUUAACCAAUUAAGGUCAUCCUAGAAGAGAUAUAAUGGUCCAAAUUUUGAGAAAUUCUCAUGGACAUCCAUUCUUCCGCUCAAAACAAAGACAUUCGAGAUCUAGCAUCACCAUGAAGCAUGGUGGUGACCCGGGGGACAUUGACGUCACCCGAACAAGGCUCCAACUUCCCGGAGGCCGUCCGGUCAAUUCCUCAAGCAACUGAGGUGCACCAGCCUUUCCUCGAUGUCGCAUUGGCCCCCUGCAAUGCUUAUUACUCGUUUUGAAAGCCUAUUAUUUAGCUAAAUUAGGAGUGAGACCCUCCUACGCUAAAUAACACAAAAGUGAACAUUCUAUUCUUACAUAAAAUUAUGUAGAUAGAUACAACCAACUUGCGAACAUCUUUUAUGUUUUAUGGUGUUGGUUGAAGUGUUAACACACUGGUCAUGUGUUACACUAUUAUCUACUGCUUAUGUUGCUUAUACUUCUACGGGCUCACUACCCAUUCUUUAAAGAAGUUUAUCGGGAUGUAAGUUGAAGUGUCCUGUACCCCAUGUUCACACGCAAUACGGUCUCACCGAGGCUACGACUAAGCAACUUUAGCUUGUCGCUCGAACAUUAUUGAUGCGCACCAAUCUUUCUAUUGCGUCUUGGGGCUAUACAAUAUUUGCAUGCAGCUUUACUAUUCAUCUACAACUCACCAUCAUUGAAUAUUUUUGUACUACAGCUCGUGACUGUGUACCAGGAUUGCAAUCCUUGAGCUCAAACAAGAUUGAAACGGAUCUCCAAUCCUUGAGCUCAGCUAGAUAUUUAUUCUAGGUGUCAAAUCGCACUGCCACUGAAGGACAAUGAUGGGUCAUUUGAGAUGAAUAAGUAUUUAGGUUGGAUAUGAAUCUCCACCUAUAAUCCGCAUAUGUAGAAACCUUGUCAGACGAUCUCUUUCACCGCUAUAUUGCGGAUUGUCACUUUGAUGAGACAAUAUUCUCGCCGUUAGGGGGAGAUAAGAGCACAAGUGUUCAAGUGGAACGACGUGAAUUGUCGUGGUUUGUCCCCACUAAGUCUCAUCUUGAUCCCAAAUGCUUAAAGUGUUAAAGUGACGAGAUCACAUGCAGCAAAUAUGUCUGUAAGGAUUGAUGUCCUUUUCAAAGGACAUGGCGCGACCAAAAGGUGUUGGUCUUGACGCCAUCACCAUGGAUGGUGAUAUAGUGACGCCAUAUAGUGGCAAAAUUGGUGUCACAAAGCCGUGUGGCUCCCUAAAAGGAAGGAGACCUUUAGGUUCGAUACUUUCUCGCACUAGAAAGAAAACGAGCUUGGCACAACCUGAUCCAUUGAUCAGUGAUACUCAAAUCCGUCUCAUGAAGUCUGAAUUGUGAUUAUCGUUGGGGGACGCCUCAACGUCAAAUCCAAUCCAUAUAGAGAUCUCUACACGUAUUACACUAGUGUACAUGAGGACGUGGGAUAAUGAGUCUACUAUCGAACCACCCUUCGUUGAUGGAUAUCAACUUAGUUGAUUGGCCUAAUGGAAAGAUGUGAUCCAGCAUAACAAAGAGAUAGGUCCUUGGGCAGGUGAUGCCGACACCGCAAGCUAAACCCUAUCAACUAUGCCUUUGUUAGAUAACGUAGUGAGAACAAGAGCUUAGACUCACCUUAUGACGCAAGGUAUCUCACUAACACGCACUGAGAUCGACUACGAUAAGAUAUGCUUUCGUAAUGGAUGUCAUUGAACUCCACUACUUUGUCAGUUUGGUAGUUUCCGAAUAACUGAACAAGCAGCCUAUGAAUGUGAUCGUAAUAACAUCUCUACGGGAUCAGAGAUAUGCAUGAAGGUCUUGAACAGACUUCAUUCAUCCAAAUCAAGUGGCUCCAGACCACAGGAGCAUGUGUUUGCUAAAUGUAUUGAAACGCACAUGGACUCCACUUGAUUUGGAAGGGAUAUGGUGAAUUAUGCAUUUGCGUGUUCAUUCAAGAUUUACAUGGACUCUUGAUGGAUCAAGAGAUGCCAAUAUGUAUCAACAUCCGAAGAAAAAGAUCUUGGGAAGACACGGUCUCGAUAAGACACUCGAUGACUGUAUUGAUGAUGAUUUUUCAUCAAUCGGCUUAGGUGCUCUAACGAAAGUGAGGCCUACAUAUACUCCCAUGAUUAGUCAAAGUCUUUACUCUAAAGAGAGAUCCGUUGUUUUGUCUAAAGCAUGAUGACAAAUAUGUGUUAAGAGAUGGAGUUCCCAUCUAAGUACAAUUAGACGCAUCAAUGUACUCAACACAAUAUGAAAGACUUGACAUCUCAUUCGCUAUGAAAAGUUGUAAAGCUAAGUAUAGUUAUGCGCCCACGUAACGCCAAUGUAAUGGCAGUAACUCUUUUUUCAAUACUUAAUGGUAUGAAAGGUUGAGGCUAAUUCUAUCCCUACAUAAGAAAGACACAUCAAUAGCGAAAUCAAAAUCUGCCAAGUUUCGUAGGUCAACUUCCACGGGACCUACAAGAAAUCUCACUCACUAGAAAAUGGUGAAAUUGGUACCAUUGGAAAGUUCUAUGUGUCUACUUUCCAGGGACACCAACCAUUUGUUCAUACCUAUCAUAUUGAGUGAGUUAUGGCCGUUUUCAUAAAGUAUGACGAAUCUGUCCGAGAAUCUGAUUUUGGCAAAACAGUCAACUUCGACGGGACUUUGUGAAUAGCUCCUGAUGAAUCAGAACAUGUGUAAUAUACAGUUGGAAAGCUAAAUGAGUCUAGUUUCCAAAACCGUUUACGGUUCAUUCAUAUGUAUUUCCUAGAGGAAGUUACGACUGUUCUAGUAACUGAAGGUCAUGCUGCGCGGAAAUCUGAUUUCCUGCACAAACUUAUGUUUUGAGUUCACAAGCGGCCUUCUCCUCAAGAUCUAAGUGUAAAAGAUCAUUUGAGGACAAUACGGCAUGAUUUAGUUAAUCAUUGCCUAAUGCCACAUUUGAAGACAUGUUAAAGAGCAUUGACAUGCUAAGUUGUUGAAAUUUCCGUGAUUAGUAAAAAUCAGGAAUAGCCCUAUGAUUGAUGUAAAGAUCAGGGGGAGGUGCAAACUUCAGGGGGAGUCUAGCACAUACAUACAUGUCACUAUCAAAUGUGAAUGGUGCGUUGUACUCUUUUUCUCCUACGAUCAAGGUUCAGUUUUUCUCCCACAUGGUUUUUGUGACUUGACGAGGUUUUUAACGAGGCAACAGAUCAGCACCAUCGGCAUAUCAGAGCGGCACAAGGGGGAGUGUUCUAGGAUAUUCUGUAUCUUUCUAGAUAUUUUUUAUGUGUGCCUUGGCCUUAUGCCAAUAGGAUAUGUAGUUAGACUAGAUCUAUGUAUUCAUAUCCUUACCAUAUUGGUAUUGUGUAAUUCCCUAUAUAAAGGGCUCAUAUCAAUGAAUAAGAUGAUGAUUCUCUUGCUAUCUCUUUCUCUACACUUUAUACUUCAUCAGAGAAUAAUGUUUUUCUUGAUUUUAUUGGACUAUGGGCGUUCUGGGAAAAUUGAGGAGGUGUAUAUAACAUUUUAGUUAUUUGUAAAAGUAAAUUUGAGGUCCAUUAAACAAGAAGAUCCAACAGCCGUUUUUAGAGAUAUAAAUAGAACCUCCCAUGACGGAAUGAUAUUACAGUGAAGUUGAAAAAAAAAAAAAAAGUCACAAUGUGCUUGACCUAUAUAUAUAUAUAUAUAUAUAUAUAUAUAANNNNNNNNNNNNNNNNNNNNAAAAAAAGUAAAAACUAACAUAUGNUNUACUACUAUAUAUAUAUAUAUAUAUAUAUAUAUAUAAACCAUACUUUCUUGUAUCAUCUUCAAAAAUAAGGUUCAAAUUAACAGCUAAACAAAACAUCGAUUAUCGUACGUUAAUGUUUCCUUUAGUUAUAGACUACUAGCAGAAAUCCGUAAUAUAUAUAGCUCCACAAUAACUAGUAGUGAAGUAUCUACGUGCAUGCAGAGCUAUCUAUUUGUUCUGUACAUGGGAAUGGUGGGUUUGGCUUUAUACCGAUAAAGAACUCUCCUGUCCUUGAAAUUCCAGUUCUCAAAGGUCACGAAUAUCUUCCCUGGUUCACUAAAGUAGAAGGAGUUUCUCACACUCUCUCCUUGCAGUCUCUUCUUGUCUUGGAUUAGAAUGUUGUACGACCCUUCAUCAUCAGGAAGGAACUCUUCCUUGUACAACACGUCCCAUCCCACCACAGUUAGAUCCCACACCAUUGUCAAUCCACCCUAAUCAAAUGAAAACACCCCAAAAAAUGAAAAUUAUUAGUUAACAACAAGAUUCAACUCAUCAUUCGAUUAAACACGCGAUUAAUGACGAGAAUUAGUACCUCAACAACUGGAAUUUCAAUAUAGUUGAUUGUGUUUGCUUUGAUUAUGAGCUCAGAUACUUUGUCCUCUGGUGUGAACUCAUCAUCUUGCUCUCUUUUGAGGCCACCAUAUUGAACUGGGAGUUCUUCUGGUUCUAUGAACCUUUUUUUUCAUAAUCAUUUCCAUGCAAAGUAACUUGUGUAUUAGAGACACGGAUGAGAUACUAAUGUAAUUGGAUAGUUUCAAUUUUUUGAGUAGUAAUCUCACUCACUUGAGAAGGGUCUUUGUAACCUUUUGGGAUCUAGCAAAGAUGAACGUCUUCUUAGUUCUGUGACUUAGAAACCUUGAUCGGAGCACAUGAGACACAUAAUACCAAAGUGGAGCAUUGAUAACAAUCUGCCAGUGGAAAGCAAGAAAUUAACAUAUACCACAUUGUAAUUAGCAAGUGCAGAGUUUUGCUACUUACAUUCUUUUGAAUGAGCUCAGGAUAGUUGUCCUGUAACAAGAGCAGAGUUUUGCUACUAAGCGAACGAAGCUCCUUAAAAUCGGGGCCUGGGGAAUCCUUCAAAUCCGUAAUCUGAACCAUCGAAUCAACCCCUCUCUUGAAGUUGAGCUUCUUGAUUCCCUUUUCAAUGAAUUGAACUCUCCACCUCAAAAACUGUUGGCGUCUUGCUUCAGACCCGAAUGUUUUCUUGUACAAGUCUUUGUCCUUGAAAGGUCCAUACGAAGUGUAACACAAAGGGUGGCCAUCUUUGUCUCUACUAUUUAUGCACACCACGUCUUCAAGACCAGAGACUCCUAAAUCUUCUUCCAGAAUUUCAUCAGUCCUGAAUUCUUUUCGCCAUUUCAGGGUUCUUUUCAGCAUUUCAAAUGCGUCGCUGGUCUUGUAAUCCCGGGCUUUCAAGAAUUUGAGGAGCAAAACAUCAGUGCCUUGAUGGCCUUUGCUUGGCAACAAAGGCACACCCCAUAGGGUAAUCUCCUUGAGUUGUUCUUUCUGCCUCAAGCUUUCAUUUCGGCUAAUCCUUCUGCUGGGUUUUCCGAGAAUGUAAUUCCCCAUAAUUGCAUCUUCAACUCUGCACCGGAAUUCCAUCAAGGCUUUCCUCUUCUUCUUCUUCAUUGACGCAGAAGCAGCUUUGGUUUCCUCAUCAUCCUCUAUAGCUCUACGUUCAACAUCUUCUUCAUCACUAUCCGGACAUAAUUCCCGGGGGCUUUCCAAGAUGUAGUCAUUAGGCUGAUCAUAAUUUCCCAGAGGCGAGUCAAGCUCUUGCUCUCUGCCCUGGUAAUUAGCUUCAUUUUUCAUUUUGGGUCUCCUGAUCAUUCAUCUCCCAUUGUCAAAUAUAGAGGAGAUUGAAAUCCCCGGCAUUCAGAGUUUCCGGGGAAACUGAAUAUUGGUGGUGCUCGGAUUCAAUGAUGGGGAGUUGAGAACGACGAACACAAAAAGUUUACAUCUUUCCUUUCUCUAUUACCUCAAGCUCAAGAAAGGCCUGGCGCCAAAUUUAGGUUGGACAAUCGUAGUAACUAACGGUGAGAUUGGAACAGGCUUUUUUACAAGUGUUUUAAACUUUUAUCCCCAAUUCAUCGGGCUUGGCUGGCAUACAAUUAGUGGUUGUUGUAAAUAGAUUAGGUUCCAAAUGCAAGUCAAAUUUAGUAUUUGAGUUUCAACACUAAACCCUUAAUCCAACUCGUUGCCUAACAAUGUGCAAGAAUCACUGUCCAAGUCAAAAUUUUGCCUUGCUGGGAUAAGGGAUCUAAGAACAUCUCCAAAAAAGAGAUAGAAAAACACAAUUGUACAAAAGCAACACCAUGGAAACGGUGUUAUGUCGUAAAGGUGCAACAAGUUAUUCAAGUUAUUAGAUUUGCAAAGGUCACCAUCUGUCCUCAAAAAAGGUCACAAACUGAUCUCCACUGUCCUGGUAUGGGAGGCAUUGACAAUAGAAUGAGAAGAACGAAAGAAAAGGGGAACAACUUACAAGCUAAUACUAAACAGAUGGUUGCUGGAGAAAGAAAAGAGACAAUGGCUGAGAUUAAUCCUCUACAUUCUGGGAAGUUCGAUGCAUUAUCUUGUCCUCCUUGACUAAUUCACAACCUGUAGCAGUGAUUUUUACAUCCUAAUACAGCGAAACCUAACUGCUGAUUUCCAUGCCUAUGAAAAGAAUGUAACCUGAACGGCCGUUGAAAUCUUGUAAUCAUAUUUACAGUGAAAUGGGAUGUGAAAUGAUUGAUCUGUAUCUAUAUAACAAGUCAUUAUCCAACUGCAGACUGGGAGCUGCUGCAUUACUCCUCUCGAAAUCUAGUCAAGUCAAAUGACAUGGUUUUGGAACAACUGCAAUAACAGCAGCACAAUUAGCGCGUUAAGAAACUAUAAUAUAAAUCCUCAAGAUAUAACCAUGUGACGUGCUCAAAUUCUUGUCUGAUGCUCACCUCAUGUCAGCGUCCCUGAAAACCCCAACCAGAGCUUCAGCCUUGUCAUAGAAGCUAUCUUUUAGAGAUAUUACAAUACUCUGAAAACCAUUGCCUCCUUCCGUAUCCUGGUUAACCCUGGCUCCUUGGCAAGACUUUGAACGGAUGAAUCGAGCAACUUUUGCUACAUUUAAGUUAUCCAGUGCAGCAUCAACUUCAUCCAGUAUGAAGAAAGGCGAAGGCCUAUAGCUGAAGCAUUCAUGAAAACAAAUGUGGAAAAACAAUUAAUUACAGGCUCUUAUCUACAGUGUAAAAGAGUAGAAACCAAAAACUAGAACAAAACUUUCGUAGUGGAACAGCGUACAUAUUGGUGAAAGGAAGACCAAAAGCCAGAAACUCCACAAUCCCCACCCAAAAAUAUUCAUAACUAUUGAAGCAUGUGCUCUAUGUAUCUACUGCAAGGCCUACCCAGAAUCUUUUGUUCUUGGAUGUCUUUAAAGGUAAACACUAUAUAUGAUUAACAUAUACCUGUGUAUGGCAAACAGUAAUGCUAAUGCUGCAACAGUUUUCUCUCCGCCAGAUAAUUGUUCCAUAUCUCGAAAGCGCUUUGUUGGGGGCAUAGUAGUGUACUUGACGCCAUGUAGAUAUGGAUCAUCUUCAUUUUCUAAAUUCAAAUAUGCCGUCCCACCAAGUGGAUGUGUAUUGCUCUUCGUCAGUUGCUUGUAUAUCUUAUCAAUAUUACUAGAAAUAUGGUUGAAGGCAUCCAUAAACUUCUCAUACCUGCAUUGACCAAAUAAACCAUUACAAUCAAAUGUCAGGGAAAAAAUAGAAAUCAGUUGCGUAGUGGGCAUAUUUGUCACUUACGUGAUGAUUUCUUUCACUUUCUGUCGACAGUAAACAUUGACCAUUCCUAUUACUAGUUUCUAUCCAUAAAGUUUGUCUUACGAAACCCAAUAAUGUGCAAUCAUGUAUAGUCAACUACAUUAUGAUAAUUAGACAAUCCAGUAGCAGUGUAAAAGCAAUCAAUACCUGCUUUGCUUAACCGAGUUAAACAGAUCAGCCUUUUGCUUCUGUUCUUUUCUGGCCACUUCAAACUCUGCAGUUAUAUCUCUUUCCUUUUCUUGUAGAGCCUCAUAUUGGUCCAUGGCCUUCAAAUUGGGAGCUGUUCUUUCUAUUUCUGAUAGCUUGGCAUCCAUUUGUUUCUUAAAGUCUAACUCGACUUUCUCCCGCUCAGAAGGCCUCCUAUCUCUCAAUAGAGACUCAUCUAACUCAUCAAAAUCAAAUACUGGGCCCGUUGUGGAGGAGUCAGUCUCCAUUGGAUCUGAGAUGAUAGGAAGGCUUAUUUGCUGAAGUUCACAAUUUUCUACUAUCUCCUGCUUCCGAGAUGUUAGCUGCUCAAUCUGAGUUUCCUGUAAGGCACGAAAAAAAUGUUUAGGGAUUCAAAUUAACAUGGUACAGAAGUGUCGCAAACAAAACCAAAUGCCAACCUUAGAAUUUAUCUGUCGAUUAAGUUUGGAUACAUUUGUUGUAGCAGUAGAACCCCGCUUGUUCCAUUCUUGAAUUUCCUUUUCACACCCUUCCGACUUGGAUUUCCACUCUACAUUAAUAGUGAGAGAUACAACUUUAUGAACUAAAAAGAAAGGAUAAAGUGGGUUUGCGACUCGUUUGAACAACUUGGGAAAAAGACAGAAAAAGAACAACAACCAUGAGAUCAAGUCCCGCGCUCAAGGCCUAAAAUCUGAGAAUUUAAGUUCUCCAAAAAAAAUACAGUACCAUGCCGAACUUUUAUCAUACCUUGUGCAUCUUCCUUCAACUGCUCAAUCUCAGCAGAGGCUUUUUCAGCUGCAGAGUUGGCUUCAAAUUCUUUCUUUUGAACCCAUUCUAAAUCUUUUUGUAGAUUACUAAUAGAUGAUUGGAGUUCUUCAAUUCGUGUAGCCAUGUCCCGAUUUUGCUCAUACUCUAGCCUGAAAGCAAACAAAGACCAGUAUUUUACCAUAAAAUAUGAGCAAGUGCCAAAGCUGUCAUACAACAAGUACACCAGAAACAAUAGUGGUGAAACUGGGCAGAUUGUUUGGGUUUGAUAUUUGAGUACUUCAAUAGAACCUGUGGUCAAUCUAAAAAGUUAAAACAAAAUUUUCAAAGACUUUACAGCCCUACAAAGAACUUGUAACUGGACAGCGUCAAACAUCUCUCAUCUUUAGUGAUCACUGCUUUCUAAAAAAGUCGUGUGAUAAUAGACACGACAGCGUUCUUUAAAGAUGAUCAAGACACAUCAAAAAGAAUAUAUGGUGGGGAGCGAGGAAAACCAACUGACUAAUUGGCCCAAUACUUGUAGUUGGUUGUUUCCUCAGUCAAAGUACUUGUAGUUCAUCAGAAUGUUAAAGCACAAUUUGAAGAUGCAUAAAUGCAUGCACAUUCAUACAAUAGUGUGGGAAUCAAUGAUCAAGUUAUAUAUCACAUAAUUCAUGCAUGUGUCCAACAUAAUAUACACAACUCACAUUCCACUGUAUGCCCAAAAUAAAAUAAUUACCAACAUACAACAGUAAAAUUGACAAAAGAUAAAAUAUAGGGAAGAACAUACUGGUAUUUCAAUUUUGAUAGCUGGCUACUCAAACUAAGCCUCUCUUCAGCCAUAGAUUGGGAAACCUUGAGUUGUUUUUCUUCAUACUCACGAAUGUUAUCUACCCCAACAGAUUUACUAAAGCCUUUGUAGAGUCUGUCAACAAUAUCAUUUAUCCUCUUCUCAAGCUUAUUGAUUUCUGUGCUCCGCUUAUCUACAGCUUGUUUUAGCUGCAAUCAUUUUUAAAACUGCUGUGUGAAACAAAAUGCUAGAAUAAGCUAGAGAAAACAGUAAUCAGGGAAAUACCUUCAGAAGAUCAGGACUGAUACGAUCAAUCUCUUCUUUUAUGUUCUGCCUCUCCCGCGCCAAAUUUGCAAGUUUGUCCUUGAUG